rnacentral:lncRNA from 1 species
UUGGAACCAGAGAAGUCCACAUGCACUUCCUCUCAGAGAAGGUACGCCACUGUUUUACUGACCCUAACUAUAUAGUUGAAGACUCUAAGUAGGUCAGGACAAGAAGAUGACGACGCAACCGCAACCAGAGGAGGCAAAUCAUCAAGGACGGAUGGGUAGACUCCGAAGGAGAAGUAGUAAGGUCUGAAGACAUACAGCUUGAUCAGAAUUGUCCUGAGGAGACCGUAGCACCGAGUCAGGUGUGGAGAGAGAAGAUAGUUAUACAUGAAGAGCAGGCGCCGCCGGAACCACCGACUACGCCAUCCAGCGAAUCCCAGGACGACUGAGAAAACGGAGAGUCCCGUUCGGAGGACUUAAAAACACCGAACACCUUGCCAAGAGGUAAACUUGGUAGUUAUCUUUUUCCUUUCAAUUAUUUUAAAAUAGUUUGCUUAGUUAAUCAGGUUCACAUCAUCUUAAAAAGAAAAUAAAAAUGUUAAAAAUAGUAAGUCCCAUGUGAGUAUGCUCAUGGCAUAAAACCCAUAAGUACAUUCACUGUGGUGGCAUAAAAAUAAAAUAAAUAUAUUCCUGUCCUAUAAAAAUAAAAUUAUAAAAAUAAAUUUAUGAUCCUACUAAAGAGUGUAACAUUUAUUGAGGAGGCUCAACAAGAUAAAGGCUAGAUAUUUAUGCUAACACUUAACCAGUUCCACAAAGCUUUGUUGUCUAUUUGAGCUCCACAGAAUUCAAGGAUCAAAGAAGACUAGCAGACGGAGGAUAUCCUAAUCGCUGUCAAGGUGCUGCCGACAUUCAAAUACAUCUCCGCCACCUGCUAGCUACAUCAGAAGAAACUACGUCAAAAUCCAGCUUGGGGGAGAGCACCCCUAUUUAUCCAGCUAAGUAUUCUACUCACGUUUAUACUUUACUCUAAUAAUAAAAUGGUGCAUAAUCAUAGAAACCCAAAUAAAGAUUUUGUGCUUAUAUAUAUCUUUGCUUAGUUUGCUAAAUAAAUAAAUAAAUAAAGUCUGCUAUGAACCCUCAUGAUAAGCUCUCACAUGGAAAUGAUGAAUAAUUGCUCUACCAUGGCUAGUUCUCAAAAUUGAAAUCUCUCUCAAGUUUAGGCAUCACUGUUAUGAAUUAAGAUUUGCUCUAAACCUGAACUUGUGGGAGAGUACUUGAUCUGAAGUCUAAGUCGUUAACGGAUAUGAUAUGGGAAGGUUGAGCUGCUGUUUAUCUGUUCCUAGAGAUGCUAGAAUUCUGGAGAAUUUUAUCUUUGAAAAUCUUUAAAAUGUUACAUGAUGAGUUCUUGUAGGAUGAGAGUUUAAAUUCCUACCACAGCCAUAUAUACAUGCUUGCUAAACUUUGAGCCACACAUUUACUUUUUACUGCUUAUGAGCAUUGAGUGUGGUCAAGCUGUGUAGACCCUUAGGAGCUUGUCAUGUGGUUAAAAUCAAGAUUCACUUGCAUGUUCACUCAUACAUGUUGCUUCUACUCCGGAAGUACGCAUCCACAUAUAUCCAUCCAUUUCCAUCUCCAGAACCACCCAAAAAUAUUCUACUCCUAAUCAGGGAGAGAAUAGCCAAAAACAUUUCUGUUUUCCCUUGUGAAAUAAAUGCUCAAGUUAUCUUGUUACUACCACUUGCUAUAUUAUCUCAUGAGAUGAGUGCUCUAAAAAAAGAAAAGAAAAAAAAGAUACGAGGAAAUAAAAAGGGGCAAGUGCCCGGAACCUCGAAAGAAAAGAAAAAGUGAGAUGAGAGGUAAAAAUGGACAAGUGUCCGACAGUAGAAUUAGGGGUACAAGAUACCCACCUGAGAGAAAAGAAAAAAAAGAAAAUAUAGAGCAUCUCAUUCUCCUCAAAAAGUUUUAAAAGAGCAAGAAAGGUAUGUAUCCCCUCAAAAGAGCACAAGUAGAAUUAGACUUUCACCAUUGUUAUCACCAUCAUCACCAUACACCAUUCAUUCGCCACACAUGCACAUCUUCAUUUUACUUAUUGACUUGUUCUUCUAGAUCCAUGGUUUGACUAUGCAAUAAAUGUCUUGUAAGUAUGUAUUAGCUGUCUCCCACCUAUGAGCUCCAGAUAUCAAAAGCCUUAUUAGAGUAGGGUGAGAGAGAAGGCAAUGUCACUAUGCCUUAUACUACAAAUACCACAUACUUUGAGAGAAGGCAUAUACCAUUACUGCCUUGGUAAGGAUCAGAAAUACCUCAAAAGAGAGACUAGAGAGAGUCAUACAAGGAAUCUCUGAGUUUUAUUUGAAAAUCUGCAAAAACUCCAGAGCUAUAGCUGAUCAAGAAUAAGAGACAUGGUGCUUGACUAGACCGUUCUAUCUUUUAACUACUCAAGACAGAAGUGACGGUUACAAGUCCCAUGGUGAAAGGUAAAUGAGUAAGUUUUAAGUCUUAACAGUUUACUCUAACCAGAGAUGAGAUCUUGUUUAAACGCAUGUGGAUCUUUAAGUUAUGAAACCACUGCAGAAACUCUUGAGUUCAUCUUUGCUCAGGGACGAGCAAAGGUUAAGCUUGGGGGAGCUUGUUGACGGUCCUUAAUGCUCACAUUUAACCAUCAACUAAUCAUAGAAAAGGAUCCAAAUGCAACCAACACCUAGACUUAGGGUUUUAUCUGACAGAAUUCCACAAGUUUUGGUGUUUGUCUAUUUCUGCAGGGAGUUAUCAGGAAAUACGGAAGAAAGGCCCACACGUCGGGUUUACAUAGAGAUAUUAAUGUGCCGCGCAAUUUUCUAUCAUCUAGAAGACUCCAGAAGCCACGGGACCGAACCGGAGGCCGAGAGGACACAGGGACAGGGCGCCCGCCCUCCUUUCCUGGGCGCCCGCCCUCAGCCAGAGUCCAAUCAGGACUCUCUUUCGGGAUAUUGCUCCACCGACCUAAAGGAUCAAGGAAAACCACACGAUCAAUGUCGGUUUGAUCCAACGGCCCAGAUUCACUUGAAGGGACUAUAAAACCAGACCCCCCUGGCCCCUGGAGAUCAUACCUCUUCUACAGAAUCAAAGCUAGGGUUUCAAUUCUUCAUCCAAGUAGAGAGGAUCCCUCUAGUUCUUCUAGUUCUAUCUCUAGUUCAUCUAGAUCUAGUUCUAGUUCAUCUAGUUCUAGUUCUAGUUCCUCUAGUUCUAGUUCUAGUUAGUUCUAGUUGUAAUCUAGAAAAUAGGGAGAGAGAAGAGGAGAGCAGAGGAGGAGGAGCCGGAUCUGUCGGAUCUUCCUCAACAUUAUACUUUUGCAGCAUCUGGUUUGUUCUUCAUCGUUCUCCAGGUUCUUCAAUUCAUAAUCCUGAGUUCUCUAAUUACUUUUAUUUACAUUCAAGUAAUUUAUUGGAUUCCCGCUUGCAUCAAGUGCUCUAGUCUUUAUAACGCUAGAGUAGUAAUUAAUAGAUUAGACGUGGUGUUUAGUCUUGCGAUUAUCUAGAAUUGCACCCAAUCCUGCGGAUUGUUGUGGUAGCCUUAGGGUAGUGACAGCCCUAACGGUCGACGUAUUCCACCACGUUCGGAUCGGUGUUUGUAGGACCGUAGUCAGACCUUCCUAGCCCCCUUCUCAUCUCUUUCCGCGGUUAGUGCUCUGAUGUCCCGAUAUAGAUAAUCUUGAAGUAAUUCUUGAUUCUUAGAUCAACUAGAGAACUCUCAGGAAACUUCCUCUCUUCCCACCAAAAAUAAUUAUAUAGUUAUCCUUGGGCGAUCUUGGAUCUUAAUUAGUACACUCACGUUCCCUGUGGAAAAUCGAUACUCUGGAAUACUCCCGGGUGAAGGCUACAUCGGUAUCCGUGCGCUUGCGGAUUUUUCUGUUUGCGUUUAAAAUACCCAACAAAGACCAAGAAUGUGAUUCUUAGGAACAAGCAUAAAGAACUAAACAUGUUGAGCUAAUUAGAUUGGAUCAAAUGAGGUUGUAACUCAAAGCAUGUUUGGUUCUCUACUUAUGUGCAUGAUAGGAUUAAGGAGGAUAAUUUGGAAAUAAAGAUCACUUACCAAGAGAUGUUACCCUAGUAUUGAAACAUGUUGAAGCCAUAACAUCUUGUAGAAGCUUUCCUUUCUUGGCUAGUCAUGUGCCUUGCUCAUGGACAACUUGUCUCCUUUGUUGUACUCCUUUCUUACCUUAUGCCAUUAUUUGCUCUCCGUCUAAUUUGUGCUUGGACCUUUAGCUCUUCUUAUUAUUUUAUCCCUAUAAAUCAUUAGUGGACAACACAUACCUGAAGGAGUAUACAAAUAAUGACAAGGGCAUAUUGUUGUAACACAAAGCUAAGGGGCACUUUCUAUGCUACAAAAGAAGUUGUUUUAACAUACUUAUCAUAGCACAUUUAUUAUUCACAAUUACUUAUUUCUAAUGGAUUGAUUUUAUUUUCCCAAGUUAUGUUUUGAUUUUUAAAUAUAGGCAUUAUGAAUCAACUCAAACUCAUAGAAAUAAAGCAAUAGUGAAUUUAGGGAUUGCAAACCAGCAUAUGGAGCGAUGAGGAAGAACUUGGUUGGAUCAUCUAGAGGAGUUGACCUUCUUCCUCAUGUCUCAACUUCUCAACCUCAUAGGUGAGAGUGCAGAAUGUUGCAUGCUUUUCUCUUGUCAAUCAUUUCUUGAUUCUUGAUAAUUAGUGGUUGACAAGAGAAUGCAACUCCAUGGAGUAAGUGCUUUGAUGAUGGAUCAUGUUUUGUGGCACCCUUCUGUCUUCUUGGCUACGAGUGAGUUGUGUCUCUCUUGUGCACAAUUAUUGUGUCUCUCUUCAUCUCUAGUGUGAGUUCAUCCCAGGACUUUCCCAAUUUGUAUUUGAGAUUCUCCUGCAGGGGUUAGUCCAACAAAAAUAUUCCAAUAUCUACUAUAGCAUACUAUCAGCUCAAAAAUCAACAUAGACACCAUGUCUAAUUUGAUUCAAGAAGGCAUUUUCACCUAAGCACCAUGCUUAAUUUAAAAGCCUUUUAGAAGUAAGAUCAACACACCUUUUGGUCCAAAAAUUAAACUAGACACCUUGUCUAAUAUAAGUCAAAACAAUAGUUUAAACUAAGCACCUUGCCUAAUUUUAAAAGGUGUCUAAAAAGACUUCAAAAGUCUACGCAUACUAUAGUAAACAAAGGUAGCAUGAGAGCAUUAUAGUGAUUUACUCAAUAGUGAUGAUAGAGUAUGAUCGCAAUGAGAAAUAUUAUUAUAUUUUUAGAUGUAGAUGAAUUGUAUGUAUGCAAGGAACUAAACAUGAUGUGGAUGAGAAAACUAAAUGAAGUGGAUGCAUGGAUGAUUCAAAGUAGACAUGUAGUGGUAUGCGAGGAAAUAAAAAUAUAACUACUCAUAAGUUUUAAAGCCUAGUAAGACUAUCUCACCCUGAUCAUACUUGCCUUGAUGCACAACUGGGAUGAGUGGUGUAGCAUAAAUAUCUGUCACAUGUGAUGGGGGUUGUAUUAUUGUGACGACAACCUUUUCUCCAAUCUACACAUGGUUAGAAUAAAUAAUAUAUAUGUGUAUACACAAACUUGUGAGAUGGCAGGGUUCUUGAAUGAUGGAUCUUGAAUGUUCAAACACUCUGGGUUCUUUAAUUUUGUGGAAUCUUGUCACAAGGUCGAAGCGGCAUCUGAUGUCCUAUCUAUUCCACACUCAACAGAACAAAGGGGUAAUCCUACUAAAGCUAAUUGUACACUAAAUUAGCAAACAUCAAGGUUGUUAUUAGAAUCUUUAUGCCAAUUGCUUCCCCGGCAACGGCGCCAAAAAUGUUUGUUGGCAUUUCUUAAUGCAAUCACCAAAGAUACGCAAAAAGCCUAAUCCCCAGCAGCAGCGCUAGAAAUGCUUAAUGACAUUUGUUAGUGCAAAAAGAAUUAUAAAAGAUUCCACAAGCGCACAAAACAUCAUCGUAGCAUUUUACCGGGAGUAUUCCAAGUAUCGUUAUUUACAUUUUACCACAGGGAAGCAGGGUUAAGAAUCUAAUAAUUCACUAUCCUACAUCUACUAACUUAGAGUAUCAACUAAACUAAUGUAGGGGUAAAUAAUGUACUAUAAGAUAAUAGCAUAUAAGAGAAUUCAAUGAUAAAUGUAUAGAUAGUCAUAGCGGGAGGACAACGAGAAAGAUCUAGGUUCAUUUGUACUUCUCUAUUACUUAGGUUCUAAGGCAACAGAAUAUGAAAAGAUAUAGCAAUCAUACAAUGGCACUUUGGAGCAACAGUACCUUUCCGACUCUCGAAAGAGACUGGAAGAAGGUAGUCAGGGGAAGGCUGCCAAGAAGCUCUACGAAACAUCAAUCCGAACGUGGUGGAAUACAAAGGCCUAACAGGGCUGUCACCCCUGGGGCUACCACAACUAUUUGUGGGAUUGAGCGCAACCUCAAGUAAACUAUAGCCUAGACACCAUGUCUACACUAGCGUUCACUGCUCUAAUUACCAUGAAUAACUAGAGCACUCAAUACGAGCAAAGAUCCCAUGCCAAGAUAUAACAACUACACUAAUCAUAAAGAGGCACAAACUAAAUAGAAAAGAUAAUAUAUUAAAGCAUAAGUUUUACAAAUAAGAGAUAUGAAAACAUACCAAAACUCUGAAGAAAACUCCUCCAGAACCAGAGCAUAGCUCCGCUCUCCCUAACUCCCAAUUAGAACUAAUCUACUACAUUGGAAUGUCUAGCCCUAAUUCUCUAGAGAAGAGAGGUCAUCCAUUCGAGGGAUGUCUCUACAACUCAUAAUGAUUCUCCUCCCAAGGGGUUAGUCUUGUAUUUGUAGGGGGCAUCUGGCCCCUCCUCUACCUUGAACUAGUGAUGUGGUACUAAUCUUUCCACCCCCUAGGAGGAACCAUAGCCCUUGGAUCAAACCGACUUAAACGUGCGCUUAAGAUUAAUCCUCAAAGGCGGUGGAUCAGGAAUCCGUGAACCAGAGCCUGAUUGAUUGAGGUAGUCGGGCGGCCGCCCAAGGGGGUGGAGCGGGCGCCCAUCCCUUGUGGCCGUUUGCCUUCUUGUUUGUUCUGGUGUCUUCUCGAACCUUCUAGACUCAAGAAAAGUGUAUUUUCUUGUGAAAUUCAUAUUCCUUCAUCCGAGACUCCAAAUAUGGCAAAUGAUAUAUGGAUUUCAAUCAUCUCGAUGAGCCUGUCACCAUGGUGAAGUCCAAUUCAUCAAUUGAGAUACUUUUAUUCAAUGAUUAGUAUGCCUUUAACUCUUUUCCUAUGUGACCCCUACAAAACAUAGAUGUACCAAAACUCAUGGAAUUUGUUAGUUCCAACCUCUAAACCUAUGUUGAUGAGCAUCUCUUUGUAGUUAUAAAAGUUAUGUUGACAGUUAAAAAUAGGAGUUAACUACCAUCAACAGUCACCAUGUGUGAGGGGUUCCUAGGGAUCACCCCUCACUCAGAGCUAUAGCUCCACCUGUUCUGGGCGGACAUCUUGUCAAAGUCUGGUGGGACCGGCUAGCCCCAGAAGCCAUUGAGGGCCAGUGGCUAUACUCUCCAGGUGUGCCAGCGGAAGUCUCACCUCUACAUUCAUGCCUUGCUUUAGUCCUCCAAACGAGGCUAUCAGGAGGGGUAGUUGUACCUCCACAACGACCUCAACAUGCUGCCCCCUAUACUGGGAAGGUGGUGAGCGAAUGGCCCAAGAAGUGGAAGUGGGGUGUUCCCAUAGAGGAUCAACCAACGUUGGACCUGCUCCUCGAGGGAGUGGAGAGGCUCUAUGGUAAGGGUCUCAUAGCGGCCGGCGUGUCAACUGCUUUCCAUAUGCGAAGAGCCCUCCUGCUAGCACAGUGCCCACUUUUCAUGUACUAGAUGGGCUCAACAGCAUCGCUAGAGGGAACACAGAUGUCCUCCUAGGCUCUCCCUAUGGGGGAGGUCACUAAGCGUGUGACUUACACCAUGUCGUUGGGUUUGGCAGAAAACUUCUAGGUCUUCACAAUGCAACAUAGGAGGGGUAUAUUUACGUAGUAAGAGCCUUCAAAGGGAAGACCUCUACCGUUAGUGCUCUAACCUAGUAGUCGAGGCUCAAGCGUUGUAGGGGAAGAUCACCCCUUUGGUGGAGAGGGUGGAGUCACUAGAGGAGGCCCUUGUGUAGGAGUCAAACGAGCAGAGCAUCCUCACAGGAACUUUUUGGGAUGAGCUCACAUGGGUCAAGGCUGCCUUGGCAGUGCAGAACCAUGCCCUGGCCUAGGCCACUAGGGACCUAGACGAGCCUCGAGGUUUUACCCGUUGAUGGGAAGGGAAGGCAAAGAAGGAGGAGGAAGAGGCAUGGGGUAUGUUUUCUUUCUUGAAUGUGACCUUCAUCAUGUCAUCCUACCUCAGGUCCUAACCAUUAGUCUUGAUUUAUCACAAAGCUAGCGAGGAAGCAAUCUGAGGCCAACUCAACGGUUGCAGCCCUGUAGGCUGCCCUAAACAUGGAGUCCAUGGAGCAUAACGCUCUACGAACUAUCAUUACCUCAGUUUGUGACACGCUUGAGGCUGAGGAUAACCGCUCUGACAAAGUCACAUGGCCUCCCUCUACACCUAGGUGGGCAAGAGGCUGUAAGAUGCCCUCGACACUAGUGUGAAGCGUGCCUUGGCCGUCGUGAGCUCCCACUACCUCGGUGUUGAUCUCCUAGCCAUUAGCAAGGGGUACAUCAUUGACAAUGAUGAGAAGUCUAAGAAGGAAGUGCUAAAGCUUGCCGAGGCGGUCGACGCCCCUAGCAAUGCCUUGGCCACCCUGAUUGAAUAGGAGGUGGCACUCCCCCUGCUAGACCUAUAGAGUAGGAGUGAGGUAGGGCCGUAGUGCCCUUGUAAAAGUUAUGUUUUUUGUCCUUUAUCAGACUUUGUGGCCUUCUGAGGCCUUUUUAAACUCUACUAAGUCUCUUUUUAACUUUUGUAAAUUAUGCCUGAAAUAGUGGAGUCUCAGUUGCUUAUUAUUUUUGUCAAAUGGUCUAGCCUCGGUAGUGCAAGGUGAGGUUCAAUGUUAAGCAAUUUUGACCCAAGGCUUACUUAUGUUAUGAGUCUAAAAUUCUAUUUGAAUGUUCUGGGGCCUAGCCUUUGCUUCACUUUGAUUGUAAUCCAUACAAAGUCCUUUUCAAAAUUGUGUAGCCGAUCCUUUCGGUCAAAGGGAUGGUGAGUAGGAAUGUCAUAGCUCAUAAGCAUAGACAGUUCCUAGCUCAUCUAGGCCUAGCUCCUUUAGGAUGGUCUUUUGAUUUUUAGGUCUCUAUGAGUUCUUUUGUCAAAGUGAGCAAUAAGGCUAGAGUCAUAAUAUUCUUAUCUUAAGGGUGAUUGAAAAAAAUGAGACUAGGGGUCUCCCCCUUGUAGGCCUUGAGGGAGGCUUGGUUUUUGUUGAGGUAGAGCUGAGGCUCGCACUUGAGCUUUGAAAAUUUAAAGUGCUGCCGAGCCCCGACCUAAGGCUUGGGUGAGAUCUUAAGAAAAUUUACACAAUGCUUAAAGAUAUUUCUUUAUUGCUUUCUUGAGACAAGGGUAUGUAUAGUGCUUGGUAUUUAAGGGUAAAAACAAUGUAGUUGUUUGAUGUUCUAGGCAUUGGUGUAGACUUCUCCCUUCUCGUUAGCCAGCAUAUACGUUCUAGGUUGGAGUACCUCGAUGAUGAUGAAAGGACCCUCUUAGGGAGGGGUGAGCUUGUGGCAUCCAUGGUUGCUCUGCCUUAGCCUCAGCACCAAGUCGCUAACCCUAAAGGCCCAUCCUCGGAUGCGUCAGCUGUGGUAGCGUCAUAGAGCCUACUAGUACUUAGCCGAGUGUAGGAGAGCUAUGUCUCGGGCUUUCUUCCAGCUGAUCCAGGGCAUCUUCUUGGAAGGUUCUAUUGCUAUUCUCCUCAUAAGCUUUUGCCCUCAGGAGCCAUAUUCUAAGUCUAUGGGGAGAACAGCCUCGGACCCUUAGACCAUGAAGAAUGGCGUAAAACCCAUGACUCAUCUUUAGGAUGUCCUUAGACUCCAAAUGAUAGCUAGAAGCUUGGUGAGCCAUCUUUUGCCAAACUUGUUCAGAUGGUUGGACAUCAUGGGUUUUAGACUUUGUAGGAUCAUGCCAUUAGCACGCUCUACCUACCCAUUAGUCCUUGGAUGAGCCACUACUGCCUAGUCCACACAUAUGUGGUGCUCAUCGCAAAACACUAGAAACUUCCCCCCGAUGAAGUGUGUGCCAUUAUCAGUGAUGAUGCAGUUUGGAACCCCAAACCGAUGAAUGAUGUCGGUAAAAAAUGACACCACUUGCUUGGACUUGAUCCUGAUGAUGGGACAAGCCUCGAUCCAUUUUGAAAAUUUGUCAAUUGCCAUGAGAAAGUGGGUGAAGCCCUCGGGUGCUUUUUGUAGAGGUCCUACGAGGUCGAGAACCCAUACAACAGAGGGCCACAUGAUGGGGAUCAUCUGUAGAGCAUGUGUUGGAGAUGGGUCUGUCCUGUGCAGAAUCGACACCCCUUGCACGUCCACACAACUUCCAUGGCAUCUUCCAAGGUGGUUGGUGUUAACGGUAGAUAACUCCAAAUUUUAACCGUCAACUAAACUUGAAAAUGGAUCUAUAUACAAACACCUAGUAGAUAUAGGGUUAUCACUAAUAGAAUUCCAUGAGUUUUGGUGAACGUCUGUUUUUGUGGGGUGUUAGCUAAAAACAACCAAAGAUGGUCCACAUGUUGGUUUUACAUAGAGAGAAUACCACAAAUAGCAACUCAAUAACAAUCUAGAAGACUCGAAAGAUGGUCCACAUUUUGUAGUUGUACAUGCAGGAUCAAAGUCUCCUAACUUGAGGCUUGGUCCUAGGAUCAUUUACCAAUUCGACUUCUAAUACUAGGAAGUUUAUUGUUCUUAUUGUUGUUUGGUUUAUGGGUUUACUUUAUUCACUAGCGCUAGGGAAUAGAAUAAUUGUUCGUAGAGUAAGCGUGGUGCUUCGGCUAGGAAUACUCAUAGAUACUCCCUACCUGGUCAGGUUUGUGGUAAUAGUGAGGGGAAGUGACAGUCUCUUUGUUGUCUUCGUAAUCCAUGUCCCGUCAGGAGGUAAGGUAGGAAUUAGUGUGCUGGGGUUACGCAUCCUCUGUGGUGUAUUUUUUUCUUAGGUGCCCCCUGUUGGGUAUUUUAAACGCAAACAGAAAAAUCCGCAAGCGCACGGAUACCGAUGUAGCCUUCACCCGGGAGUAUUCCAGAGUAUCGAUUUUCCACAGGGAACGUGAGUGUACUAAUUAAGAUUCAAGAUCGCCCAAGGAUAACUAUAUAAUUAUUUUUGGUGGGAAGAGAGGAAGUUUCCUGAGAGUUCUCUAGUUGAUCUAAGAAUCAAGAAUUACUUCAACAUUAUCUAUAUCGGGACAUCAGAGCACUAACCACAGAAAAAGAUGAGAAGGGGGCUAGGAAGGUCUGACUACGGUCCUACAAACACCGAUCCAAACGUGGUGGAAUACGUCGACCGUUAGGGCUGUCACUACCCUAGGGCUACCACAACAAUCCGCAGGAUUGGGUGCAAUUCCAGGUAAUCGCAAGACUAAACACCACGUCUAAUCUAUUAAUUACUACUCUAGCGUUAUAAAGACUAGAGCACUUGAUGCAAGCGGGAAUCCAAUAAAUAACUUGAAUGUAAAUAAAAGUAAUUAGAGAACUCAGGAGUUAUGAAUUGAAGAACCUGGAGAACGAUGAAGAACGAACCAGUUGCUGCAAAAGUACAAUUUUGAGGAAGAUCCGACAGAUCCGGCUCCUCCUCCGCUCUCCUCUUCUCUCUCCCUAUUUUCUAGAUUACAACUAGAACUAACUAGAACUAGAAAUAGAGGAACUAGAACUAGAACUAGAUGAACUAGAACUAGAUCUAGAUGAACUAGAGGUAGAACUAGAAGAACUAGAGGGAUCCUCUCUACUUGGAUGAAGAAUUGAAACCCUAGCUUUGAUUCUGUAGAAGAGGUAUGAUCUCCAGGGGCUAGGGAGGUCUGGUUUUAUAGUCCCUUCAAGUGAAUCUGGGCCGUCGGAUCAAACCGACAUUGAUCGCACGGUUUUCCUUGAUCCUUUAGGUCGGUGGAGCGUUGUCCGCGAAACGUGACCGAAUUGGUCUCUGGAAGUGGGCGGGCGCCCAAGGGACUAGGGCGGGCGCCCUGUGCCUGAGCCCUCUCGGCCUCCGCUUCGGUCCCGUGGCUUCUGGAGUCUUCUAGAUGAUAGAAAAUUGCGCGGCACGUUAAUAUCUCUAUGUAAACCCGACGUGUGGGCCUUUCUUCCGUAUUUCCUGAUAACCCCCUGCAGAAAUAGACAAACACCAAAACUCGUGGAAUUCUGUCAGAUAAAACCCUAAGUCUGGGUGUUGGUUGCAUUUGGAUCCUUUUCCAUGAUUAAUUGAUGGUUAAAUAUGAGCAUUAAGGACCGUCAACAAGCUCCCCCAAGCUUAACCUUUGCUCGUCCCUGAGCAAAGCUAAAAUCAACAAGAAAAACAGGGGUUACUUUUAUGCCUCUUACUACAGGGUUUUUAAGUUAUCACUAAGGUCUUAAGUGAUUGAAAAACAGAAUGAUCAAGUCAAGCACUAUGUCUUAAGUUCUUCUGUCUUACCUUUGUUCUGGAGUUGUUUGUAAGUUUGCAAAAUAAAACUGAGGCAUUUGCCUUCUUCUCGAAAGAUAUAUAAGUAGAGCUUUAAAAGUUUUAGCAUACUUACUUUGCAUUUUGCUAUGUCAACGCUCGGAGUAAGGGAGAGGAAUGUCAUACUCCUAGAUCAAGACCUUUGACCUUUUUGAAAAGUUUGUCAUCUCUUACUGGCAUAUUGCUUAUUAGAGGGACCAUGGGCUAUCAUUUUUUUUUCUUUUUUUUUCAGUCUCUUUUUUUUUCAAGUGGGCAGCAAGUACCCCUAAUUCUACUGUCGGACACAUGUCCAUUUUUUUCCACUCAGGUGGGUAUCUUUGUACCCCUAAUUCUACUUCGGACACUUGUCCAUUUUUACUUCUCGUCUCACUCUCUCCUUUUUUUUUGAAUCAAAUUUUUGCAUAGUCCCAUGCCUCUAACGCAAUAAUACUUCGGAAGAGUGAAUCUUUUAUAUUUUUAAAACAAAAAGAUCUUGAUCUUGGGAGCAUGAUAAUUCUCUCAACCAAAACUACAAGAAUUAACAAUGGCUUGAACAAAGCAAGUGCCCACAGUUUUAAUAUUCAUAUCUUAUAAGACUCUAGGUAUUAUGAUCUCAUAUUUAUUUAUUUUUUUUUAUGAAUUUUUAGAUUUUCAAAAGAUAAAAUCUCCAGAACUCUAGCAAAACUUGGAACAAGUUAAAUAGUAGCUCAGACCUUCUCAUAUCAUGUUUGUCAAUUACCUAGACUUGAAUCAAACUUUCUUUUUAUUUUAUUUAAAACUUAGGAUUACACAAAACUAUUGUAUAUUACUCAAAAGAAAAACUUUGUUUGGUUUCAUGGUUAUGCAUUUUUAUUUAUUUACUUAUUUCAGAAUACUAGUAAAUAAAACCAAAGGAAGAAAAGUAAUACUUAUCUAGAUACAUGUGGGGGUGCCUCCCCCAAGCUGUAUGUUGACAUAGUCGUUCACUCUUGUAGCCUGCAUGUUUGGUCUCACUCUUCUUAAGCCUCAAAAUCCUGCACAACCCAAAUAGACAACAAAACUUGUGGAACAUGUUAAGGGUUAGGUAAUUGUCUAGAGCUUAUGAGAGCUUAAUGUGAGAAUUCUAUAAACUCAAUCACAUCAAGCUCCUCUACCAGGUUGUUUUGUGGCUCGAGAUAGAUUUUCAAGCGUUGACCAUUUACCUUAAAAGUGUUACCUAUGUCGUCUUGGAUGGUAAUGGCUCCAUGAGUUGAAGUGUCAAUAACCUUGUAUGGUCCAUCCCACUUACUUCGUAGCUUACCAUGCCCAAAGAGCUUUACUCUUGAAUUGAAUAGUAGAACCUUAUCUCCAGGCUUAAACUCCUUGUGCUUGAUUCUCUUAUCAUGCCAUCGUUUCGUUCUCUCUUUAUAGAUCCUUGAAUUGUGAUAGGCUUUCUCUCUCCAUUCUUCUAGCUCAGAUAGUUGCAUCAGACGAUUCUUGCUAGCAAGGUGGAGAUCCAUGUUCCAUUUCUUGAGUGCCCAAUGAGCCUUAAACUCUACUUCCACAGGCAAGUGACACGUUUUUCCAUAUACAAGUUGAUAAGGUGACAUGCCUAUGGGUGUUUUGAAUGCAGUUCUAUAUGCCCAAAGUGCAUCAGGAAGUUUGUCCUUCCACCCCUUACCCAUCUCAUCUACGGUCUUUUGUAAAAUAUUUUUGAUUUGUUUGUUAGAUGUUUCGGCUUGACCGCUAGUCUGAAGAUGGCAUGGUGUUGCGACGUUGUGUCGAACUCCAUGAUCGGCUAGGUACUUCCGGAAGAUUUUGUCGAUGAAGUGGGAACCUCCAUCGCUUAUAACUAUCCGGGGUAUACCAAAGCGAGGAAAGAUUACUUCAUGGAACAUUCUCUUGGCAUGUUUUGAAUCAGCUGAUCGACAAGGUAAGGCUUCUACCCAUUUGGACACGUAGUCCACAGCUACUAAGAUAUACUCGCAAUUCCCGGACAUAGGGAAUGGCCCCAUGAAAUCAAUGCCCCAUACGUCGAAAAGUUCUACUUGAAGAUUAUUUGUGAGAGGCAUUUCAUUUUGUGAGUUGAUAUUCCCAUGUUUUUGACAUCGGUGGCAUCUCCUGACAAAGUCCUUUGUAUCUUCAUACAUCGUUGGCCAGAAAAAGCCACUUUGCCAAAUUUUAGCAUGUGUCCGGAAUGCUCCGUAGUGUCCUCCAUAUGGCGAGGCAUGGCAUCUUUCCAUAAUUUGAGUAGCCUCAGCCAUAGGAACACACCUUCUCAAGAGUCCAUCAGCGCAGACUCGAAAAAGAUAUGGCUCAUCCCAAAGGUGGAAACGACUAUCGUGAAGUAACUUCCUUUUGUUUGCACCAGGUGGGACAUAGCCUUUUACUACAAAGUUUACGAUGUCUGCGUACCAUGGAUCUGCAUGUGUUAUCUUAAGUAGGGUGUCAUCCCUUAGGUAGUCAUUUAUGGGAAGCUCAUCAUGUGUUUCCUUAUAUUAAAGCCUAGACAAGUGGUCGGCUACAGAAUUCUCAACUCCCUUCCUAUCUCGGAUUUCUAUGUCAAAGUCUUGGAGUAGAAGAAUCCACCGAAUUAGACGAGGCUUAGCAUCUUUCUUAGUGAGGAGGUACUUGAGAGCAGCAUGGUCUGAAUAGAUGAUUAUCUUUGCCCCCACUAAGUAAGAUCUAAACUUGUCUAUAGCAAAGACAACAGCCAAAAGCUCUUUUUCAGUUGUAGUGUAAUUGAGCUGUGGUCCAGAUAAGGUUUUGCUAGUGUAGGAUAUGGCAUAAUGCAUUUUAUCCUUGGUUUGUCCUAAAACGGCACCAACCGCAAAAUCGCUAGCAUCACACAUGAUCUCAAAAGGAAGAUUCCAGUCAGGUGGUUGGAUAAUCGGGGCUGAGAUGAGUGCUUUCUUAAGAGUUUGAAAAGAUUCAUGACACUCAUCACUAAAGAUGAAAGGCGCAUCCUUAGCUAGGAGAUUAGUUAGGGGUCUAGCAAUUUGAGAGAAGUUCUUGAUAAAGCGUCUAUAGAACCCUGCAUGUCCCAAAAAGCUACGGAUUCCUUUCACAUUCGUUGGAGGUGGAAGUUUUUCAAUAACUUCAAUCUUUUCUUUGUCCACCUCUAUACCACGUUCGGACACUUUAUGUCCUAGCACUAUUCCUUCCUGAACCAUAAAAUGGCAUUUCUCCCAGUUCAGGAUUAAGUGCUUUUCUUCACAUCGCUGCAAGGCUCUAUCUAAAUUCUCCAAACAAUGAUCGAAGGUUUUGCCAUAGACGGUAAAAUCAUCCAUGAAAACCUCCAUGAUCUUCUCAAUCAUGUCCGAGAAAAUAGACAUCAUGCACCGUUGGAAAGAAGCUGGAGCAUUGCACAAUCCGAACGACAUUCGUCGGUAUGCAUAAGUUCCAUACGGGCAUGUAAAGGUAGUCUUUUCUUGGUCAUCUGGGUGGAUUGGGAUUUGGUGAUAUCCAGAAUAACCAUCAAGGAAACAAAAGAAAGAGUGGUUUGCAAGCCGUUCCAACAUUUCAUCAAUGAAGGGUAACGGAAAAUGAUCUUUCUUUGUAGCCUUAUUGAGUUUUCGAUAGUCAAUACACAUACGCCACCCAGUGACAAUUCGUUGAGGGAUGAGUUCAUUUUUCUCAUUCAUAACAACCGUCAUUCCUCCUUUCUUUGGCACUACUUGGACAGGGCUAACCCACUCACUAUGUGGCACAGGAUAAAUAAUCCCAGCACGAUAGAGUUUGAGGACCUCUUUCUUAACAACCUCUCGCAUAGCAUUGUUAAGUCUCCGUUGUGGUUCCCUUGAAGGUGUAGAAUUGGGAUCAAUAGGGAUACGAUGAGUGCAGAGAAUGGGACUAAUGCCCGUGAGAUCCUCGAGAGAGUAGCCAAAUGCUGAUCUAUGUCUUUCAAGAACAGUGACAAGUUGUUGUGUUUCAUAAUCGGAAAGCUUGUCACUGAUAAUUACUGGAGUUUUUGAGUUGUUGUGCAAAAAGACAUAUCUAAGGCCAGAAGGAAGAGGUUUUAAUUCUAUCGAAGGAGGUGAAGUUAGUUCAUUUUUGUCUAGCUCAACGGGUUCUACCAACUCUUCUUCUUCUUGAACAAAGUGUUCAUCAUUAAAGAAUGGUUGGGCCAUCUCCUCUUGAGUCAACAUUAAGAUCUCCUCAAUAGGAUCUGGUACAAGUUUGGGUUCCACUAUCGUGUUAAUUGAUCUAACAAGAGGAACAACAAUAGUGGAAUUCCCAACCUUGAAGUCUAAAUGACCUCGUUGUGGUUGUUCAUGUAGAAGUUUUAUGAUUGGUCUACCAAUCAAGAGAGGAAUCUCUGGUAUGUCAAAAAUGUGAAAAUCUAGACAUAUUCCAGAGUCCUUGAUUCUAACAGGAACUGCCCUUAAUACCCCAUGGCUUUCUAGAAUUAAUCCAGGUGGACUUUGUAAAAGUUUUUGAGAUGGGGUUAUGGACUCGUUGGGAUAAAGAGUGUCAGCUAACUCCUUGGAAAUAACAUUUAUCCCAACAUAUGGAUUGUAGUGGACCUUCCUAACGGACCGUCUAAUUUGGCACAGAAGAAUGGUUGAAGGAGUGAUGAUUCGAGCUACCUCAGGAGACAGCUCUGCUUCUGUUAGCCAUUCAUAACUUAGAAUAGCCGAAAGGCUUUUGAUGUGUUCUAUGUCAACAGAUUCUACUCUUAGAACGGAUUGAGUGGUCCUUGCUAGAGGUCGUGUUUGGAUAGGAAAAUUCGAGGUGUUUCCAUAAUCUUCAAAAAGAUCUUCCUCGAAUUGAAAGGGAUGCUCUAAAGGUGGUGGUUCAUCAUCCUUUAGUUGGUUUUGCAUUCCCUUAUCAGGAGGUUUCUCUACAACCAAAUUAAUGGAUGGGUCAGGUGGAAUUUCUAUCUCGGUUGCAAGUUCCACAUCUUUUGGUUUAGGAUCAGGCUCGACUUCGUUUUCUUCUUCAAGAAACUCAUCAUAAAUGCCUGUGUAAGGGGUAUUUUCAAGGAUUCUUUCUAGGAUAGCUCUCCCCUCAUCUGUGAGUUUGUGUGUGAAUGAGCCUCCUGAAGCAAUGUCGAGGUGAAGAGCAGCUUCCUUAUUAAGACCACGAUAGAAGUGGUAGUACAGUACAUGGUCAGGCAGAGAAAGGUUUGGACCGGAAUUGGUAAGGCUUGUGAACCUAGCCCAAGCUGCUCCUAAAGUUUCCUUCUCUCUUUGUUUGAAUGUAAGAAUUUCAAUUCUAAGGUCAGCAAUUCGAAAAAGUGGGAAGAAAGCGAGACAAAAGUUGUCCCGAAGUUCAUCCCAAUUUCCAUUAACGCCUCCUACAGAAUGAGCAUACCACUUCUUUGCUCUUCCCAAAAGGGAGAACGGAAAUAAUUUCCAUAUAAGGGUGUCUUGUGUCAUGCCGGAAAUAGAUCGGCAAGAGCACAACUGCUCGAAUUCUCUAAGGUGGGUGUAUGGAUCUUCAUCUACAUGAUGGUGGUGGCUCUAAUAACUCGCCCUUUGGAGCAAAGAAUUUAUAGAUAGGAGUGAAAUCCAUGUGGUGUGGUGAAAAUGGUAAGGUGAGUGUGGUAAAAGGGAAAAGAAAAAGGAUACACGGACGACUUGGUUCGAAACUAGCACAGCUACCGUUCCCCGGCAACGGCGCCAGAAAGCUUGUUGGGUAUUUUAAACGCAAACAGAAAAAUCCGCAAGCGCACGGAUACCGAUGUAGCCUUCACCCGGGAGUAUUCCAGAGUAUCGAUUUUCCACAGGGAACGUGAGUGUACUAAUUAAGAUUCAAGAUCGCCCAAGGAUAACUAUAUAAUUAUUUUUGGUGGGAAGAGAGGAAGUUUCCUGAGAGUUCUCUAGUUGAUCUAAGAAUCAAGAAUUACUUCAAGAUUAUCUAUAUCAGGACAUCAGAGCACUAACCACAGAAAGAGAUGAGAAGGGGGCUAGGAAGGUCUGACUACGGUCCUACAAACACCGAUCCGAACAUGGUAGAAUACGUCGACCGUUAGGGCUGUCACUACCCUAGGGCUACCACAACAAUCCGUAGGAUUGGGUGCAAUUCCAGGUAAUCGCAAGACUAAACACCACGUCUAAUCUAUUAAUUACUACUUUAGCGUUAUAAAGACUAGAGCACUUGAUGCAAGCGGGAAUCCAAUAAAUAACUUGAAUGUAAAUAAAAGUAAUUAGAGAACUCAGGAGUUAUGAAUUGAAGAACCUGGAGAACGAUGAAGAACGAACCAGUUGCUGCAAAAGUACAAUGUUGAGGAAGAUCCGACAGAUCCGGCUCCUCCUCCGCUCUCCUCUUCUCUCUCCCUAUUUUCUAGAUUACAACUAGAACUAACUAGAACUAGAACUAGAGGAACUAGAACUAGAACUAGAUGAACUAGAACUAGAUCUAGAUGAACUAGAGGUAGAACUAGAAGAACUAGAGGGAUCCUCUCUACUUGGAUGAAGAAUUGAAACCCUAGCUUUGAUUCUGUAGAAGAGGUAUAAUCUCCAGGGGCCAGGGAGGUCUGGUUUUAUAGUCCCUUCAAGUGAAUCUGGGCCGUCGGAUCAAACCGACAUUGAUCGCACGGUUUUCCUUGAUCCUUUAGGUCGGUGGAGCGUUGUCCGCGAAACGUGACCGAAUUGGUCUCUGGAAGUGGGCGGGCGCCCAAGGGAUCAGGGCGGGCGCCCUGUGCGUGAGCCCUCUCGGCCUCCGCUUUGGUCCCGUGGCUUCUGGAGUCUUCUAGAUGAUAGAAAAUUGCGCGACACGUUAAUAUCUCUAUGUAAACCCGACGUGUGGGCCUUUCUUCCGUAUUUCCUGAUAACCCCCUGCAGAAAUAGACAAACACCAAAACUCGUGGAAUUCUGUCAGAUAAAACCCUAAGUCUGGGUGUUGGUUGCAUUUGGAUCCUUUUCCAUGAUUAAUUGAUGGUUAAAUAUGAGCAUUAAGGACCGUCAACACCCCCCUUAGAACAAUAACUACACAGCUUACCAUAGGUUAGAGGAAGACUAACGGAGUAAUCCUCUCUAUAUCGCUCAUAUCUCACUAUCUUGUCUGUAGCCUAGGGGUUAAGUAUAUAUUUGGUUUAGUCAGAUGCACACUUUCUCCUAGCACAUAAAUAAAUAAUGAUACUCUAUAUAUCUCGGGUGACAUGCUCACCGAUGUCCGUGCACUUGCGGAUUACUUCUCUAUUUGCGUAUCUAGUAUCAACAAGCAUUUCUGAUGCCGUUGCCGAGGAGAAAUAUAGUCUGUUGAGAUAACUUUAAGUCAGGGUUAACCUUGUAUUAUACUUUGCUGUAUAAUGAUACUCUAUAUUUCUCUAUUUGCGUAUCUAGUAUCAACAAGCAUUUCUGAUGCACUAGCCUUCAAGAUGAUAUCCUAGAGUUUUCCUUUAUUUAUCCAUUAGUGAGGUGAGGUUUGUCCUUAUUAUUAGUGGACACACUCCUUGCACUAGCCUUCAAGAUGAUAUCCUAGAGGUAGAGAAGGAAGCACCCCCAAACUUGAAGAGGAAGUUUUCAUAGCCACUUUGCAAACAUUCUAAUCCCAUGAUUCGGCUAUCCAUCCCAAACUAGCAAUACUCCAAAAUCCUUUAAGGGAAGAAGUAGUUCUACCUUUAGAAAUCCUUUCCAAUGAUUUUGGGAGGAAUUUAAACUUCCCGCUUCAUAAGAGAUAUUUUAGUGCAUAUAGUUUGAAUCUUCAAAACAUAUCUCUUAGAAAGCUUUUCAAAUCCAAUCCCUUUGAAAGACAAUUAGAAAGACUCAAAGAUGGCAUGUCAAUUGAUGCCAUAGGACUGUGAAGCCAUCUAGAAGCCACUCUUAUCCUCUCCCCUUCUAUGCCCACAUUAGAUAUAGAAUAUGAACCCGUCUUUAAACCCAUCCUUGACUACUAUGGCUUGUUUUAUGCUCUUUCUCCUAAACCUCCUGAUGAUUCUAGAAAUCCAUCUAGAUAUGUGUUGACGGUCCUUAAGUAUCAAAUUUAAUUAUCAAAUAAACAAAGAAAAGGAUCCAAAUGAAAUCAACAACCAGACUUAGGGUUUCAUCUGACAGAAUUCCACGAGUUUUGGUGUUUGUCUAUUUCUGCAGGGGGUUAUCAGGAAAUACAGAAGAAAGGCCCACACAUCGGGAUUACAUAGAGAUAUCAACGUGACGCACAAUUAUCUUACAUCUAGAAGACUCCAGAAGCCACGGGAAGGAAGCGGAGGCCGAACUAAUACCCGAUUUUAAGGACAAAACCAGAUAUGCACCAUAUGUGAGUUUUAGAAGUCAAAUCUCACAUAUAGCUACAAAUAAAGGGUAAUAUCAUAAGACAAUGCAUAAAUAUAUAACGUACUUAGUAUAAAAGAGAUAACCUUUGAUAACAAACAGCAGAUAGACAACUCCAAACUUCAGGUAUUAACUCCUCUCCAUAGGAUCAAACUGACUGGUUGAUCACAAGCCUAAAGCAACUCCUGAAGUGAGGGGGAAAUUGCAAGAGUGAGCACAUAUCAUACUCAACAAGUAUAACCAGGGGUUCAUGAGGCUCAAUAAGCUGACACUGGUUUGACUGUGUUUAGCUUUUAUAUGUAGAUAACAUAUUUAAUCAUUGGAUAGCAAAUAUCAAGGUAGCAUAAUUAAUCCCAUAACCACAUGAUCAAUGUAUAUAAGAAUUAUGAAUAACACAUAUAAACAACAUAAUAAACCAUCAUUUAUUAUCAUUAAUCAUGUUCAUCAGUGUCCGUCUAUUCCGUCAAUUUUCUGGGCCGCCCGUAUCCGUGGGCACGGCUAGUAUAGCAGAUUUAACACUCUGCAGAGGUUGUACAUCUUUACCCAUGAGUCGUGAUUUACCUUUUUGCCUGAGGUUGCAAGUCUCUUAACCCCAUUCCUAGGGAGGUCGGCAGGGAUCACUAUGAAGCCUUUCAAAGGUUUCGUCUAACAAGUUAGGACCAUUAGAUUCACUCGGCAGGCAGAUAUAGAGCCCCCUUCCAUGGCACAUAACCCGCAGCCUAUACACAUGGAUAGAGGCCACACUAUACCCAACGUGUCUAGCCAUUCUUACGCCAUUUAAGGUAACCGCUAACAAGCUAGAAAAAGGUCCUCAUACUGAGCUAAAACCAGAGCCAUAUAGCCCUCAUGGUUGUACGAGUUGUCCCACCUUUUGCCAAGGGAUAAGUUCUUAUGGAGGGUCAAGAUCAAUCUAGCAAAAGCUAGAGUUCUUUCCACCCUUUAUGUUCAAGUUGCUAGAAAGCUUAUUUUAUUGUUUAUUGUAUAUCCAAAUAUUCAUGUUACAAGAUCAUGGAUUAUUAAUCAAGCACUAGCAAGAACUACCCAAGUGCAUAUCUAAAAUAGGUAACAAGGAAUUCAGGAUAACAAUCAUCUAUGAUUUUGCUAAGGUCAUCAAGGUGGACACAUGCAUAUGAUAAAUAUUGUAUUAAUUGUGUAUAGGUAACAAGGAUGAUCUCUAGUUAUACUUGCCUUGAUCAAAGCUCUCCUGAGCCUGCUGGUCUUCAAAGGCUUGGUCUUGAUCACCAACGUACGGCUCACCGUCUAUUCCCAAACAUGGAUCAACAACACGCAAUCCAAUGUAGACAAUCAUACACAAAGCAAACAAGCUAUAAUUAGAACAUUACACCAAUAGUGAGAAAUUAAAGAUAAAAGUUUAUAAAAAUAUUCUCGCAGCGCUACGAUCACACAAACGUAAAGUACACGAAAAUCGGAUUUAAAACGUAGAAGUUAUGAUUUUUUUCUAAGAUUUCUUAUAGAUAAUUAAUUAAUUAAAUGCUACUGCAAAAUUAAAAAGUUUCAAAACAGUGGACUAAUACUUCUAACAUGUAGAGCUCGUAAAAAUGAAUCUAACGCAAUUUGAAUAGGUCAAAACGGAGUUAAGAUGAAUAUUUUAUGGCCAAAAAAAAGUCAGUGGCAAAUUCUGUAAAUACCUCAUCUUGUUACCUUGAGCACGUACACAUCAGGCCAUGGCUGAUUCGGCCUUGCCGACCAGCGCAGGGAUCAAAGACGGCUUGGAGAUCGCAGGGGCUGGCUCUACAAAAUUUCGCGCAGUCACAGACAAGUCUCCAAUCUUGAUUUCAGCGAGGAAACGAAACAUCCGCGCUUGAAGGUAGGCAUGGCUGUAUAGGCGAUGAUGGCGAUCACGUUGUAGAGAAGAAAAUAUAAAUUUUAUUUUACUACCUUAAGAAUUCUCAAAUUAGAGACUUCCCAUAUGAUAGUCUUUGAUGUGCUUUGCCUAAGGGGUUGGUACAUAUAUAUAGGGAGAAAAACUCCCCACCUCCACGUCAACUAGCAAUAUGGUACUAAUUGAUUUGCAACCUUCAUCUUCACUAAUAGGUCUAAUUAAUUAUUAAAGCCCAUUAGUAAAUAAAUACAUGGUUUUUAUGAUUUAUUAUGGGCUUUGACGUUGGAAAAAUAAUAAGAGAUUUAUUAUUUUUGGAAUUAAUUAUUUUCAUUGAUAAAAUAAUUCUAGAAAAGUUUAGAAUUAGUAGUUAAGCCACGAAAAAUACUCCAAAAGCUCCGAAAAUUCAGGAAAAAUUCUCAGAGAUAUUAUAGAACAUGGGAAACCCGAAUAAAGUUUUUGGAGCUCAUGAUAAGAUUGUUUGAAGCAUCUAAAAAUUAGAUUUAUGCUCAUAGGAAAGGCUAGAAAAUACCCGAGAAGUUUGUAGAGAAUUCUUGAUGGACGAGAAAUUCAAACGAGUGACUUACGUUUGAAAGAAAAGAUUCUGAGAGACAAUGACCGAAAUCUUGAGCUAAGAGACAAGGAAUUUGAUUGUAGAAAAAGGUAAAUAUGUGCCGAAUAAGGAAGAUCGAUCUACUAAACGUAUUUUAAAUAUUUUUCUUACUAUCAACACAUAAAGGAGCAACAAGCAUCACAUCAAAACAUAUGCACCAGCAUGUAUGUAUAAUAAUGUUGCUAAGCCUUAUGAUAAAUUUUAAUUUAAUUAAAAUAUUAUUUUUUCUAUAUUUUCAUGAGCACAAAAAUAUUAAAUUAAAUAAUUUUAUCUAUAUUUCAAAAGGAGUAAAUUUUAGGGUGUUACAUAGCCUGGCCCUGGGCGCCCGCCCAGGAGACCAGGGCGCCCGCCCCCUUCUGGGUACAAUCAGGACUCUCCUUCGGGAUCAAUCUCCACCGACCUAAAGGAUCUAGGAUAACCGUUCAAUCAAUGUCGGCUUGAUCCAACAGCCCAUAUUCACUUGAAGGGACUACAAAACCAGACCCUCUGGGCCCUGGAGGAGAGAGCCUCUCAACCCUAAUUCAUUAUUCUCACGGGAGAAGAAGCCUCUGAUCAAGCCUAGAGCCACAACAUCAAUUAGACAUCUAGAUUAGCAUAGCUACAUAGGAUUAGAACUAGAAGGAGUCAAUCUUCGAUUGGUUUCCGGAUCUGUCAAGAGGAUUCUUGGUAAUUCUCUAAUUGUUCUUCUAAUUGUUCAUCUUUGUUCUUCAAUAUUAUGAAUAUGACUUUGUUCUACAUCAAUAUAUUGCUUACGACUUUGCUCUACUUGUUUAUAUUCAAGAUUAUAUUGUUCUUAGUUUAUCAUAGUUAUGUACUUGGCUUAGUUAGAUUGGAUCUAUAUACAUGUUUAGGAUCGUAUAGCGUUUAUCCAUCGGAUCCAUGAGUAAAUGAUAGAUAUUGUGUAGGCGUGGUGCUUAUACCGUAUUUAUCUGCGAUUGUACCCCCAGAUCAUGGGGUAGUUCAUGAUAGUGACAGCUUCAUUGAUUCUUAUAUAGUCCCCCUCUCGUGUAUUGGGCUGGCAGAGCAACAUUAUUACAGGGGAGUGAUUACGAUGUUUCUCAUAUUCCUUGCUAAUAUCACUAUGCAUGGGCGUAGUCUUGUCUCGCAAUGAUUGCUAAGUAUGCUUGCACUAACUAUGAUAAUGUUAGACGGUAUAGUUAAGAAUAACUUAGAAAAUAUUCUUGUAGUUCGUUCUAAUUCCAUGCUAAUGACUUGCUAGAAUAUCUAAUUGAGGUGCUUAUCAUAUUUAUAUGUGGCUAAGUUAUGCUGAUCAGAUUAAUUAUCUUUGUCACCAUUCAUUACUUCAUAUAUCCUUUAUGUGACACUUAUCCCUGUAUGAAAGAGUUAGAUAAAUGUUCUCAAUUAUACAUGCAUUGAUAGAUACUCAAUCUCAUAUUCCAUUCUAUAAUCAACAUUGAUGGUUACUAAUCCCUUCCCAGUGGUAAAAAUAUAAAUAACGAUACCUAGAAUACUUCCCGGUUAAAAUGCUACAUCGGUAUUAAUCUAUGCGCUUGCAGAUCCCAUUCAUUAUUUAUUUAGACGAGCAAUUGCAUAUUUCAAUACCGCGUCUCUCAUGUCAUACUGGGGAUGACAACUUGGCUUAAGUGGUAUGAGAGAUAGGUUUGGCAUUUUUGGCACUGUUAUCAGAAUUAGAAACUGUUUACUUUUGGUAGUGAUGUUAAGAAUACCUAACAAUAUCCCAUGCAUAGGAAUCAUCAAGACCAUACAGAAGAUCAAGAACAUGGCUAGAGUGCAACUAAAACUUAUGUGCUAUUGCCAUUUAAUGGAUGGACAAGGCCUUAGAUAAGAUCAAUUCAAGAGAUGAUGCAAGGGAAUGUUUGGACAUAUAUGUCUAGUCACCCUUGGAAGUCGAAAAUGAUGGAGACUUCAAUGAGCAAGGAAGCUACUUCAUUAACACCCCAUGAGUUCCUUGCUCAUAUGAAAAAUCUCCUAAUUCACUUAGUCUCUCUACCUUUGCCCCACAUGAGGUCUUCAACCCCCUCAUGCUCUCUGUUCCUAACUGUUGACGGUCCUUAAGUAUCAAAUUUAAUUAUCAAAUAAAUAAAGAAAAGGAUCCAAAUGAAAUCAAGAUCUAGACUUAGGGUUUUAUCUGACAGAAUUCCACGAGUUUUGGUGUUUGUCUAUUUCUGCAGGGGGUUAUUAGGAAAUAUGGAAGAAAGGCCCACAUGUCAGGAUUACGUAAAGAUAUUAACGUGCUGUGCAAUUAUCUUACAUCUAGAAGACUCCAGAAGCCACGAGACCGAAGCGGAGGCGAAACAGGGCCAGAGGCAGGGCGCCCGCCCUGUCCUACUGGGCGCCCGCCCCCUGUCCAAGUCCAAUCAGGACUCUGCUUUGCGGGAAGUCUCCACCGACCUAAAGGAUGAAUCUAAACCAUACAAUCUAUGUCGGUUUGAUCCAAGGGCCCAUAUUCACUUGAAGGGACUAUAAAACCAGACCCCCUGGCCCCUGGAGGAGAGAGCCUCUCAACCCUAAUUCAUUGUUCCAUCAAGGGAGAAGAAGCCUCUGAUCGAGAUUAGAGCCACCACAUCAAUUAGAUAUCUAGAUUAGCAUAGCUACAUAGGAUUAGAACUAGAAGGAGUCAAUCUUCGAUUGGUUCCCGGAUCUGUCAAGAGGAUUCUUGGUAAUUCUCUAAUUGUGUUUCUAAUUACUUUCUAAUUAUCUUUGUUCUUCAAUAUUAUGAAUAUGACUUUGUUCUACUUCAAUAUAUUGCUUAUGACUUUGCUCUACUUGCUUAUAUUCAAGAUUAUAUUGUUCUUAGUUUAUCAUAGUUAUGUACUUAGCUUAGUUAGAUACAAUCUAUAUACAUGCUUAGGAUCGUAUAGCGUUUAUCCAUCGGAUCCAUGGGUAAAUGAUAGAUAUUGUGUAGGCGUGGUGCUUAUACCGUAUUUAUCUGCGAUUGUACCCAAUAUGCCAGAUCGUGGGGUAGUUCGUGAUAGUGACAGCUUCAUUGAUUCUUAUAUAGUCCCCCUCUCGUGUAUUGGGCUGGCAGAGCAACAUUAUUACAGGGGAGUGAUUGCUAUGUUUCUCAUAUUCCUUGCUAAUAUCACUAUGCAUGGGCGUAGUCUUGUCUCGCAAUGAUUGCUAAGUAUGCUUGCACUAAUUAUGAUAAUGCUAGACUAUAUAGUUGAGAAUAACUUAGGGAAUAUUCUUGUAGUUCGUUCUAAUACCAUGCUAAUGACUUUCUAGAGUAUCUAAUUGAGGUGCUUAUCAUAUUUAUUAUGUGGCUAGAUCAGAUUAGUUAUUCUUGUCACUAUUAUUAUUUCAUAUAUCUUUUAUGUGACACUUAUCCCUAUAUGAUGAGUUAGAUAUAAUGUUCUCAAUUAUACAUGCAAUGAUAGAUGCUCAAUCUCAUAUUCUAUUCUGUAAUCAUUAGUGAUGAUUUCUAAUCCCUUCCCAGUGGUGAAAAUAUAAAUAACGAUACCUGGAAUACUUCCCGGUUAAAAUUCUACAUCGGUAUUAAUCUGUGCGCUUGCAGAUCCCAUUCAUUAUUUAUUUAGAAGAGCAAUUGCAUAUUUCAAUACCGCGUCUCUUAUAUCAUGCUGGGGAUGACAACUUGGCUUAAGUGGUGUGAGGGAUAGGUUUGGCAUUUUUGGCACCGUUGCUAGAUUUAGAGAACUUAGUCUACUUUUAGUAAUGAUGUUAAGAAUACCCAACAAGCAUUUUUGGCGCCGUUGUCGGGGAAGGUUGAUUACUAAUCAGGAAUAGAAUAAAAGAUUUAGAGUAAUCAUUCGCAUCACUAAUAUGAUUGAGCUUAUCUAUUCUCUCAUACAGUUUUACCCCGAUAUUUUUCUAUUUUUAUCUUAUGCAGGGGAAUGUAUGAAUAGAAGACAUCUUCCAGGAAAUUUUGUUGACAAUCCCGAAGCAUUAUUCAAGAAGACGAGAGCCAAGCUAAAGAAAUCAUCAACACUUCACGAAGAAGCUUCAUCCAAUCAAGAAGAUCACCGGAACUUGUCUUCAGAGUUCGAAGCCAUGGCGAACAAAUCGAUCCGCGAGUUCUUAGCUCCCACUACGGACAACAUCCGCACUGGACCUGCUGCAGAGAUCGAUGGCAACUUUGAGCUCAAGCCUGGACUUAUCAACAAGGUGCAAUCCAACCAGUUCUGUGGGAAGGCACACGAAGAUGCUAGUGCUCAUUUACAACACUUUCUGGAGAUUUGCAACACAUUCACCAUAGCAGGAGUUUCCAAAGACGCUAUACUACUUCGCCUCUUCCCAUUCUCACUAUUAGGAAGAGCGAAGCAGUGGUUCUACGCUACAAAGGAGAAGAAUACUACGUGGGCACUCUGCUCAACAAACUUCCUGGCUAAGUUCUUUCCCAUGGGCAAAACCAAUGCUCUCCGUGGGAAGAUUACAAGUUUUCAGCAACAAAAUGAUGAAUCUGUUCCAGAAGCAUGGGAGCGCUUUCAAGACUACAUCCUAGAAUGUCCCCAUUAUGGAAUGGAGAGUUGGCUAUUGAUGCAGACGUUUUAUCAUGGGCUCGGCAACAGUGCCCGAGAGACUAUGGAUGCUGCAGCUGGAGGAGCAUUCUUAUCACUUACUAUACCACAAGCCGCAUCUCUUGUGGAGAAGAUGGCGUCCAACCAAAGCUGGAAUGAGGAGAGGACCCAGACACGCAAGAGAGGUGGAGGUAUACAUCAGCUGAAAGAGGUAGACAUGCUGUCUGCAAAGCUAGACCUGCUCAUGAAGAAGCUCGAUGAUAGAGCUGGAGACAAGAAAGAAGUUAUGCACAUCUACGACUCUCACAUGACUUGUGAGGAGUGUGGAGACACUGGACACUCAGGCAACCACUGCCCUGAGAUACUUGAGGAUGUGAACUACAUCAACAACAACAACAACAACUACUACAACCGUCCUCAACAAAAUCAAGGUUGGAAUCAACAGAGGCCUAACUACUCAGGUAAUUAUCAAGGUAACAAUUCUUACAACAAUAAUAAUAAUUUUCCACCUUUGAGAGAGUUAGUGUCUAAUCAAGGAAAGCUAAUGGAUAACCUAUCUAAGAAAUUGGCAUCUAAUGAUAAAAUGCUAGAAAAUAUAAAUAAUAGAAUGGAUAAUUUCUCUACUGCCAUCAAGAAUCAAAUUAGCUUUAAUAAAAUGAUUGAAUCUCAGUUAAAUCAAAUAGCUGCUGUUGUUCCUACUACUAACCCCGGUAUACCAUCACAACCGGAAGGAUUAGAAUCUGCAAAUCUUGUAGACAUGAUUGAUGCAGGUAAUUGGAGUAACCCCGUCACUGAAUUUUCUACUGACCAUCUGCCGGUCAAGAGAGGCGAUCCAGGACGCCCCGUCAUCCCGAUCUCCAUCGGCAUGGUGGACGUCCCAGAAGCACUCUGUGACUUUGGCUCUAGCGUCAACAUUAUACCCAGGGUACUCUAUAAAAAAUUCUUUACAUAUCCUUUAUUAGAGACAACCAUGUGUUUGCAGUUUGCAGAUCAGACGAUAACUUUUCCAAAAGGAAUCGUGAGGAACCUUUGUGUCCGAGUUGGUACCUUAUAUGCCCCAGCAGACUUCGUAGUGGUAGAGACCGGAAAUGAUGAGAGAGCACCUAUCAUCCUAGGGAGGCCAUUUCUGAACACCACGGGAGCUAUCAUCUACGCCAGUGCUGCCAAGAUCAGUUUCUACGUCAAAGGGAAGAAGGAGACAUUUUUCUUCAAGAACAAGACUACACAAAUUCCAGAUCAAUCCAGACGUGAAUCAAGGAAGAGGACCAACAGGAGAAACAGGAACAAGCAAGUGUGGACCGAGUCAGCUAAGAUGGUCACUAUAGUCCAUGGAGGCCAAGAUCACCAACUGAAGUCACCGUUUUUUGACCAAGAAGGACGACCCAGGAAUGCCAAGCAUUUACUGCUCCAUAAAUGGAUAUAACUUCUACAAGACGAUUUGCGACACCAGAUCAGGCGUCAACAUAAUGGCCGCAGUCACCUAUCGGCUCUUGUUCGGGACCAUGCCACUAAGACCAACAUACAUUCAGCUCCAGAUGGCAGAUCAAACAUUUCGAGAAGUUCAAGGAAUAGUAUCUGAUGUCCCAGUCAAAAUAGACAAUCACUUUGUCUACACAGACUUUCAAGUUGUUGACAUGGGAGAAGACGAGUAUGAUCCACCCAUCAUCCUUGGAAGGCCGUUCCUCAGCACCGUUAAAGCAAUUAUCUACAUUGGAACCGGAGAAGUCCAUAUGCACUUCCCCUCAGAGAAGGUACGCCGUUAUUUUACUGACCCUAACUAUAUCGUUGAAGAAUCUAAGCAGGUCAGAAAGAGACGCAACCGCAACCAGAGGAGGCAGAUCAUCAAGGACGGAUGGGCAGACUAUGAAGGAGAAGUUGUAAGGUCAGAAGACGUAGAGUUUAAACAGAAUUAUCUAGAGGAGAUUGAAGCACCGAGUCAGGUAUGGAAAAUGAAGAUAACUAUACAAGAAGAGGAGGCGCUGCCGGAAAUACCGACUAUGCCACCCAACGAACCUCAGGACGAUUAAGAAAUUGGAGAGUCCCGUUCGGAGGACUUAAAAACACCGAACGCCUUGCCAAGAGGUAAACUUGGUAGUUACCCUUUCCCUUUUAAUCAUUUCAAUUAUUUCAAAUAGUUUACUUAGUUAAUCAAGUUCAUGCUGUCUUAAAAAGAAAAUAAAAAUAUGAAAAACAGUAAGCCCCAUGUGAGUAUACGAGUGGCAUAAAACCCAUAAGUACUUUCACUGUGGUGGCAUAAAAAUAAAAUAAAUAUUUUUCUGCUUUAUAAAAUAAAAAUAUAAAAACAGGGAGUAAUAAUUAUUAAGGAGUCUCAAGAUGAUGAAGACUAUAUAUUUAUGCUAACACUUAAUUAGUUCCACAAGCUUUGUUGUCUAUUUAAGCUCCACAGAAUUCAAGAAGACUAGCAGAACGAGGACAUUCUAAUCGCUGUCAGAAUGCUGCUGACUUUCAAAUACACCUCUGCCGCCUGCUAGCUACAUCAAGAGAAAUUACGUCAAAAUUCAGCUUGGGGGAGAGCACCCCCAUUUAUUCCGAUAAGUAUUUUUAUCUAUCUUUAUACUUAUAUUAUUUUAGAAUAUUAAAAUACACAUAAACUAUGGAAAAACCAAAUAAAGAUUUUAUGCUUAUAUAUGUCUUUUGCUUAGUGUGUUUAAUAAAUAAAUAAAGUGGCUAUGCUAAUCUGUAUCUAAAUAAAACUUAAGCAUGGAUAUGAUGAAAAGUUGCUCUGCCUAAUUUGCAAAUUUUAAGUUCUCUCUCAAGUUUAGAUAUAACUGUUAUAAUUUAAAGCUUGCUCUAGAUCUAAACUUGUGGGAUAAAAACAUGAUCUGAAGUCUAAGUUGUUAACGGAUACGAUAUGGGAAGGCUGAGCUGCUGUUUAUCUGUUCCUAGAGAUGCUAGAAUUCUGGAGAAUUUUAUCUUUGAAAAUCUUUAAAAUGUUGCAUGAUGAGUUCCUGUAUGAUGAGAGCUUAAAAUUCCUACCACAGCCAUAUAUACAUGCUUGCUAGACUUUGAGCCACACAUUUAUUAUUUACUGCUUAUGAGCAUUGAGUGUGGUCAAGCUGUGUAGACCCUUAGGAGCUUGUCAUGUGGUUAAAUCAAGAUUUCACUUACACGUUCACUCAUAUAUGCUACUUCUACUCCGGAAGUACCAUCCACAUAUAUCCAUUCAUUUCCAUCUCCAGAACCACCUAAAAAUAUUCUACUCCUAAUUCGGGAGAGAAUAACCAAAAAUAUUUCUGUUUUUCCCCUUGUGAAAUAAAUGCUCAAGUUAUCUUGUUACUACCACUUGCUAUAUUAUCUCAUGAGAUGAAUGCUCAAUAUUAAAAAAAAAAUAAUACGAGGAAAUAAAAAGGAGCAAGUGCUCGGAACCUCGAAAGAAAAGAAAAAGUGAGACGAGAGGUAAAAAUGGACAAGUGUCCGACAGUAGAAUUAGGGGUGCAAGAUACCCACCUGAGAGAAAAGAAAAAAGAAGAGCAUCUCAUUCUCCUCAUAAAGUUUCAAAAGCAAGGAAGGUAUGUAUCCCCUCAAAAGAGCAAAGUAGAAUUAGACUUCCACCACCAUUGUUUUCACCAUUGUUAUCACCAUCAUCACCAUAUACCAUUCAUUCGCCACACAUGCACAUCUUGAUUUGGCUUAUUGACUUGUUACUUUGGAUCCAUGGUUUGACUAUGCAAUAAAUGUCUUGUAAGUAUGUAUAUUUUAUCUCCCACCUAUGAGCUCCAGAUAUUAAAGCCUUAUUAGAGUAGGGUGAGAGAGAAGGCAAUGUCACUAUGCUUUAUACCACAAAUACCACAUAUCUUGAGAGAAGGCAUAUACCAUCAAUGCCUUGGUAAGGAUCCAAAAAUACCACAAAAGAGAGACCUGAGAGAAUCAUACAAGGAAUCUCUGAGUUUUAUUUGAAAAUAUGCAAAAAUCCCAGAGCUAUAGCUGAUCAAGAAUAAGAGACAAGGCACUUGGCUAGACUGUUCUAUCUUUUAACCACUCAAGACAGAAGUGACAGUUACAAGUCCCAUGGUGGAGGUAAAGUAAGUAAGUUUUAAGUCUUGACAGUUUACUCUAACUUAGAGAUGAGAUCUUAUUUAAAAGCAUGUGUACCGUCAAAUUUUUAAACAUAUUGCAACAACUUAUGAUCCAUAGCUGAGUCUAUCCUUGCUCAGGGACGAGCAAGAGGUAAGCUUGGGGGAGUUUGUUGACGGUCCUUAAGUAUCAAAUUUAAUUAUCAAAUAAAUAAAGAAAAGGAUCCAAAUGAAAUCAAGAUCUAGACUUAGGGUUUUAUCUGACAGAAUUCCACGAGUUUUGGUGUUUGUCUAUUUCUGCAGGGGGUUAUCAGGAAAUAUGGAAGAAAGGCCCACAUGUUAGGAUUACGUAAAGAUAUUAACGUGCUGCGCAAUUAUCUUACAUCUAGAAGACUCCAGAAGCCACGAGACCGAAGCGGAGGCGAAACGGGGCCAGAGGCAGGGCGCCCGCCCUGUCCUACUGGGCGCCAGCCCCCUGUCCAAGUCCAAUCAGGACUCUGCUUUGCGGGAAGUCUCCACCGACCUAAAGGAUGAAUCUAAACCAUACAAUCUAUGUCGGUUUGAUCCAAGGGCCCAUAUUCACUUGAAGGGACUAUAAAACCAGACCCCCUGGCCCCUGGAGGAGAGAGCCUCUCAACCCUAAUUCAUUGUUCCAUCAAGGGAGAAGAAGCCUCUGAUCGAGAUUAGAGCCACCACAUCAAUUAGAUAUCUAGAUUAGCAUAGCUACAUAGGAUUAGAACUAGAAGGAGUCAAUCUUCGAUUGGUUUCCGGAUCUGUCAAGAGGAUUCUUGGUAAUUCUCUAAUUGUGUUUCUAAUUACUUUCUAAUUAUCUUUGUUCUUCAAUAUUAUGAAUAUGACUUUGUUCUACUUCAAUAUAUUGCUUAUGACUUUGCUCUACUUGCUUAUAUUCAAGAUUAUAUUGUUCUUAGUUUAUCAUAGUUAUGUACUUAGCUUAGUUAGAUACGAUCUAUAUACAUGCUUAGGAUUGUAUAGCGUUUAUCCAUCGGAUCCAUGGGUAAAUGAUAGAUAUUGUGUAGGCGUGGUGCUUAUACCGUAUUUAUCUGCGAUUGUACCCAAUAUGCCAGAUCGUGGGGUAGUUCGUGAUAGUGACAGCUUCAUUGAUUCUUAUAUAGUCCCCCUCUCGUGUAUUGGGCUGGCAGAGCAACAUUAUUACAGGGGAGUGAUUGCUAUGUUUCUCAUAUUCCUUGCUAAUAUCACUAUGCAUGGGCGUAGUCUUGUCUUGCAAUGAUUGCUAAGUAUGCUUGCACUAAUUAUGAUAAUGCUAGACUAUAUAGUUGAGAAUAACUUAGGGAAUAUUCUUGUAGUUCGUUCUAAUACCAUGCUAAUGACUUUCUAGAGUAUCUAAUUGAGGUGCUUAUCAUAUUUAUUAUGUGGCUAGAUCAGAUUAGUUAUUCUUGUCACUAUUAUUAUUUCAUAUAUCUUUUAUGUGACACUUAUCCGUGUAUGAUGAGUUAGAUAUAAUGUUCUCAAUUAUACAUGCAAUGAUAGAUGCUCAAUCUCAUAUUCUAUUCUGUAAUCAUUAGUGAUGAUUUCUAAUCCCUUCCCAGUGGUAAAAAUAUAAAUAACGAUACCUGGAAUACUUCCCGGUUAAAAUGCUACAUCGGUAUUAAUCUGUGCGCUUGCAGAUCCCAUUCAUUAUUUAUUUAGAAGAGCAAUUGCAUAUUUCAAUACCGCGUCUCUUAUAUCAUGCUUGGGAUGACAACUUGGCUUAAGUGGUGUGAGGGAUAGGUUUGGCAUUUUUGGCACCGUUGCUAGAUUUAGAGAACUUAGUCUACUUUUAGUAAUGAUGUUAAGAAUACCCAACACUAACAUUUUCGAAAGGGUGGUUGUAGACACAUAUGCUUAUCAUAAAUAUUAUAGAUCUUGUUGUGUUGAUUCUUGAGAGUAGUGCACUUAGAUUGGUGUUGGAAGGGAAACCACUUCACCAAUCCACAUCUUGAAGGUUUCCCAAGGAUAAGCUUAGUGUCCUAAAACAAGUACUAUUUAAACCAUGACAUGAGUGAUCACCUUUCUACUAUGCUACCAUUGAGCAUAGAAUUAUAAUAGUGAAAAUAUUACUUUGGGUAUUCUUGUCACUAACCUUGCCAUGUUUGGAGCAAAAGAUCAAAGGAAUGACAAACGCAGGUAUGUCCAAUCAAUCAUUAUGCAACAUUGAAUUACAUUCAUCCAAUCUUGAUUAUUGCUAAAGUCAAGCUUGGGGGAUAUGCUACCAUAGAUACAUCUCUAGUCAUGUUUCUACAUCAUCUUGGUUGUCCCUACCUUUAAGUUAUGCUCAACUUGCUAAAGAAUAAUCAUGGUCUUUCAUAACUAUUUGAGUAAACAUCUAUAAUGCUUUCAUGUCACCAUUGAUUGCUAUAGUUUGCGUAGGCUUCGAAGUAUUUUCAUAUGUCUCUUGAAUGAAGCAGGUGCUUAGUUUAGGAGUGGUGAUCUUUCUUCAAAAGGCUUUUAAGUUAUGCGUAGUGCUUAGGUUAAAAUGUCUUCCUAUAUCAAAUUAGAGGUGGUGUCUAGGUUGAUUUUUGAGCUGAUAGUAUGCUAUAGUAGAUAUUGGACUAUUUUUUGUUGGACUAACCUGUGCAGGAAAACUACCAAAUCAAAAUUGGGAAAGUCCUAAGAUGAACUCACACUAGAGAUGAAGGGAUACACAACAGUUUUGUAUAAAGGAAACACAACUCAUUUCUAGCGAAGGAGAAAGAAGAAGGGUAGCAUCAAACAUGAUCCACAAACAAAACCCUCACUGCAUGGAAGUGGGUGAACAAAACUUUCCAUCACGCCACUUGGAGACAAAGAUCACGUGGAGGAAUUUGAGUUGCCGUUUUAGUUGCAUUCUCUUAUCAACCACUAAAUUAUUGAGAAUCAAGAAAAAAUGACAAGAGAAGAGCAAGCAACCUUCUGCACCCUCACCUCUGAGAUUGAGAGGCUGAGACAUGAGGAAGGAAGGCAAACUCCUCAAGAUGAUCCAACCAAGUUCUUCGCCUCUCAUGCUCUCAUCUCUCCACAUACUGGAAUAAAAUAGUAAAGAAGAGUUAAAGGCCCAAGCACAAAAUAAAGAGUGAAUGAAUGAUGGCAUAAGAUAAGAAAGAAGGAGUAUAAUAGAGAAAAUAGUUGGUGCAUUAAUAAAACACAAGACCGACCAACCAAGGAAAGCUUCCACAAGGUACUACACAAUCAACAUGCUUCAAUACUAAAGCUCCGACAACUAGUACUUCACACUUCAAACUGCUGGAAGAACAAUAAACAUGGGUGACACCAUCUCAAGAGGUGCAACUAUCAUGGUCUCGACCUUUGGGAGCAGAUAAAGAACCUAAGGAAUUAACAUGGUAAGAGGUCCUAUUCGAAGGACCUAAAAUACCAAACACCAUGCCAAGAGGUAACUUGAUAGUUAUCAACAUUUCCCUUUUUAGCACUGCAUAUUUAUUCUUCAGCAUAUUCAAUUUCCCUUAAAUGCAUAAUUAGUUGCAUAUCCACUUUACCAUUUCUGCAUUAGAGAAAGAAAAUAAUAAUAUGUCAUGCAUUGCAUCUAGAAAAUGCUAAGUCCCUUGUGAAUAAUUUUUGGUGCGACAACCCACAAAGAUAUCCACGGUGGUGGCAUAAAAAUAAGUUUUCAUCUUAGUGCAUUUUCUACAUACCAUAAAAGAUAAAAGAUAAAAAAAUAUUAAAGAUCCUGCUAAAAGAUAUAUGUGUUAAGAAUGUUCUAGACAUCCAAGGCUUAGAGGUUUAUCACUAACGCUUAAUUAGUUCCACAAGUUUUGCUGUCUAUUUGAGCUUCACAAAAUUUAAAGGAUCAAGAAGAGCUAAUAGGCAGAAGGACAGCCUAUCCCCUGCCAGAGUGUUGUCUUCAAUAGUGAGAGUAUUGUGUCAACAACAACCAUCCCUAACCCUCUAGGAGAACUAGUACGCCUUCACUGCCAGUUAGCAACACCAACAGACUAUGUCAACAUCUAGCUUGGGGGAGAGCACCCCUCGUGUAUCUAGAUAAGUAUGACUAGCUUAUUUAUUUAUUAAAUGUGUUAUGUGUUGGCAUUUCAUAGCGUCAUCACAAAAGAUAGACUAAAAUUUCAUCCUUGCAACAGCGCCAGAAAGCUUGUUGACUCCAGAAGUGGCAAACGGAAAUACCGCAAGCGUAUGAUAGUCAAUGUAGCUUUCACCGGGAGUAUUUGAGGUAUCGUAUUUACCACGUGGAACGUGAAGUGAACUAACUAGGCUCAAGGUCAUCCAUAGGGUCAAGGAUAAGUAAGGAUAGGUAAGUGAUCUCACACAGAUCCUAAUCUAAAGAUAAAUGGUAGAGAGCUAGCUAGGUGGGAGGACAAUGAGUGAGAAAAGACUCCUAUGACUCUAACUUUACUCGUAUCAACAAAUCUAAUCUAGUAGCGGACACACACUAACAUUGCUAAACUUAACUGCUUGUUUGUUGGAAGUCGACUGCAAUAGGAGGACGAAACUCCUAUACAAGAGGACUCAUUUCUUAUGGGCGCCUACAGACCGUACCCGACGUGAAUAGAACCUACUGGGAAGCAGAGGCCUAUCACGCUUCGCCGCCGCCCGCUAUCACGUUUGGUACAGUGUAUUCAAGGGCAGGCUUUAGCCUAAGCACCACACUUAUGCUAACUCCUACUACUCAGACUAAGUAUACGACCUAAUCCAAGCACCAUGUUACCGGUAGAGAAAACAACCCAAGCACUUAAGUCUAACUUAGCUAGUAUAUAACUACUAUAAGACAGACUAAGACACUACAAUAGAAUAUUGCACUAAGUAAAUACUAAAAGUAAAUACUUAGAAAAGUAAAGGAAAAGUAAAUAUAUUAAACACUCAAAGUUUUCUCGCUUUCAAACGAUCAUCAACAACAAGAUUAAAGUAUGAGAACUUCACUCAGCUUGAUGGCGAGUCAAUCGAUGCCAUGUUUUCUCGCUUUUAAAUGAUCAUCAACGAGAUGAGAGCAAACAAGGCACAACUACCUUAUGACGAUCAUGAGAGGGCUCUCAAGCUUCUAUAUGCCCUAGAUCGGAAGGUAUGGGAUGUGAAGGUGUCCGCCAUCAUCGAGUCUUCAAACUAUGACACCAUCACUGUGGACGAGCUGUUCAGCAAGCUCAAGUCCGCCGAGAUCGACUACCAAACUCAAGCCAAGCUCAAGAAUCCCUCUGCACCAACUAUGGCUUUAGUCUCAUGUAACAGUUCAAGUUCUUCAUCUAACCCUUCAAAGAUGUCGUUUGCCUUGUCUUAUUUGGUGUCUGUUUCAAAGGAGCAGUUAGAGACCCUUGGGGAUGACGAGGUGGCGUUGAUCAUCAGCCGGUUCUCGCGGUUCCACAACAACCGCUUGAACCGCCGUCGGGGCGGUGAUCAAAAGGUGGGCUGCUACAACUGUGGAGAUCUUGACCACUUCGUCGCCCACUGCCCCAAGAAGAACAAGCACUUCUCCGACAAGUACGGCUCCGGCAAACGCAAGGACAAGCAUGACUACACCUCCAAGAAGUACAAGUCAAAGAAGGGCUUCGACAAGGAGGCGCUCAAGAAAAUGUACAGCAAGAAAGCCAAGGCGCAAGAGUGUGCCUUCCUUGCUUUCCUCAGCGACCUCGACAACGACUCCGGCGAUGACCGCUCCUCUUCUCCCUCGAUUGACAAUGAGUCCGAGAGGAAGAUGGAGGAGAAGCUGACCGGUCUUUGCUUCAUCGCUGACUCCACUCACGGAGGAUUCUGCACCAUGGUGAUUGAUGAAGAGGUGAAGGCUAGCAAGGAUGAGGUCUCCUUCAAUGACGACACCUCCGAGGUACCUCCUUCUGUCGAUGACCUUGUCGCUGAGCUUGAUAGCAUGAAUAUCACCUUGAUUAGUCAAGAUAAAUUGCUUAAGCGUGCUUCCCCUGAGAGGAAAGAGUUUAAGGACAAGUUAGAGUUGGCGCUUAAGGAGCUUGAGGUUGCUAAGAAGUGUGCUGUGGUUGUGUCAGAUGAAGUAGAGUGCAAUGAGUGUGCUGUUCAUAUGUCUAACUUCUCUGAAUUGCAAUCUAAGUAUGCUGCUUUGCUUGAAGAGUAUGGUGAGCUGAAGGCUAGGCCUGUCUUGUUGGGUGCGUGCAAGUCCUCCUCGGGCUUGCAAUCUGAGCUGGCAGAGAAGAAUGCCAAGAUCUGUGAUCUUGAGAAGGCCAGUUUAGAUAGCGCCGCUGCUAAGUGUGCAUGUUGUGAGAGCUUGGUGCUAGAGCUUGAGUCUUGUAGGCACGAUAAGAUGAGAUCCGAGGAAGACAACACAUACCUUCGGUCGAUCUUGAGCUGGGUAUCUAGCAGUGAGCCACGGUUGGGCAUGAUGAUGAGCCAGUUCAGGAGGGGGACUUGCACAUCGGGUGUAAGCUUUGCUAUAGGUAGGAAGGGUGAAAAUAUUUAUGGCAAGGUGGGUGAGUCUAGUGGUUUGAGCACGAGUGAGAAACAUCCACUACUCCCAAGUUGAUCAAAUUCACUCCACCUGAGCCUUCCAAACCCACUAUCAAAGAUGGAGUGUUUGAAGAACCUCCAAAAGUUCCACCUCAGAAACAAGUAUGGAUUCCAAAACCUAACCAUCUCAGGAACCCACUUGACACUCUACCAAACAUCUCUGAGGAUCCCCGUCCUAAAGCCAAAAAGCCACCAAGAGUGAACCAUACCCACAAGAGAGUGAACCAGUAGCCACCCAAGAGAGAGGUAAGGUAUCACUGUGAGUAUUGCCAUAGGGAUGGUCACUGUUGACGGUCCUUAAUGCUCACAUUUAACCAUCAACUAAUCAUAGAAAAGGAUCCAAAUGCAACUAACACCUAGACUUAGGGUUUUAUUUGACAGAAUUCCACAAGUUUUGGUGUUUGUCUAUUUCUGCAGGGGGUUAUCAGGAAAUACGGAACAAAGGCCCACACGUCGGGUUUACAUAGAGAUAUUAACGUGCCGCACAAUUAUCUACCAUGUAGAAGACUCCAGAAGCCACGGGACCGAAGCGGAGGCCGAGAGGGCUCAGGCACUGGGCGCCCGCCCAACCUUACUGGGCGCCCGCCCUCCCCCCUGGACCAAACAGAGUCCAAUUCGGGGACAACACUCCACCGACCUAAUACUUCAAGGAAAACCACACGAUCAAUGUCGGUUUGAUCCGACGGCCCAGAUUCAAUUGAAGGGACUAUAAAACCAGACCCCCCUGGCCCCUGGAGAUCAUACCUCUUCUACAGAAUCAAAGCUAGGGUUUCAAUUCUUCAUCCAAGUAGAGAGGAUCCCUCUAGUUCUUCUAGUUCUAGUUCUAGUUAGUUCUAGUUGUAAUCUAGAAAAUAGGGAGAGAUAAGAGGAGAGCGGAGGAGGAGCCGGAUCUGUCGGAUCUUCCUCAACAUUAUACUUUUGCAGCAUCUGGUUCGUUCUUCAUCGUUCUCCAGGUUCUUCAAUUCAUAACUCCUGAGUUCUCUAAUUACUUUUAUUUACAUUCAAGUUAUUUAUUGGAUUCCCGCUUGCAUCAAGUGCUCUAGUCUUUAUAACGCUAGAGUAGUAAUUAAUAGAUUAAACGUGGUGUUUAGUCUUGCAAUUACCUGGAAUUGCACCCAAUCCUGCGGAUUGUUGUGGUAGCCUUAGGGUAGUGACAGCCCUAACGGUCGAUGUAUUCCACCACGUUCGGAUCGGUGUUUGUAGGACCGUAGUCAGACCUUCCUAGCCCCCUUCUCAUCUCUUUCUGUGGUUAAUGCUCUGAUGUCCCGAUAUAGAUAAUCUUAAAGUAAUUCUUGAUUCUUAGAUCAACUAGAGAACUCUCAGGAAACUUCCUCUCUUCCCACCAAAAAUAAUCAUAUUAGUUAUCCUUGGGCGAUCUUGGAUCUUAGUUAGUACACUCACGUUCCCUGUGGAAAAUCGAUACUCUGGAAUACUCCCGGGUGAAGGCUACAUCGGUAUCCGUGCGCUUGCGGAUUUUUCUGUUUGCGUUUAAAAUACCCAACAAGCUUUCUGGCGCCGUUGCCGGGGAACGGUAGCUGUGCUAGUUUCGAACCAAGUCGUCCGUGUAUCCUUUUUCUUUUCUUUUUUCUACCACACUCACCUUACCAUUUUCACCAUACCACAUGGAUUUCACUCUAAGCAUUAAUGAGCAUGGAAUUUAUUUCAUAGCCACUUCAUUUACUCCAUGCUCAUAUGCAACAUCUUCACAAUCCAUGGGUCUUUCCAACAUCACCACAUUCGAGAUCUCCAACCCCCUCAUCCUUUCUAUUUAUAAAAACUUUAAAAGGGCGGUUGUUGAUGCAUAUGUCUAUAAUAAAUUUUGCAGAUCUCGUUGAGUUUAUCUUGAUAUAGGUCAGCGUUGGAGGGGAAACCACUUCGCCGACAUAAAUUGAUGGUUUCCCAAGGACAAGCUUAGUGUCCUAAAACAAGCACUGAUCAGAUCGUAACAUGUGCUUUUAAUUAUUUGCAACAUUACCUUGUGUAUUGAGCAUAUAAAGAUAAUUGUAGAAAAAUUCCCUCGGGUAUUCUUGUCACUAACCUUUCCAGGAUUGCAGCAAGAAGAUCGGAUGAAUGACAAGUACAAGGUAUGUCCAACCAAUCAUCAUACAACAUUGAAUUAAAUUCAUCCAAACUUGAAUUUUGCAAAAUUCAAGCUUGGGGGAGUACUUUACAUAAAAAACAUCCUUUGCCAUGUUGCUAUGUUGAUUGUCCCUACCUUUGAGACAUGCUCAAUUUGUUAAAUACUAAUCACACUACUUUAUCUCCACUUGAGUAGAUCUCUAUAAAUGCUCUCAUGCUACCUUUAUUUGCUUUAGUAUAUGUCUAGGUUUGGAGUAGUUUCAUUUAUCUCUUAAUUACGCAUGGUGCUUAGUUUAGGGCUCAUGAUCUUACUUCCAAGGGAGUUUAAAUUAAGCAUGAUGCUUAGGUUAAAAUGCCCUCCUAAAUCAAAUUAGACAUGGUGUCUAGGUUGAUCUUUGAGCCGAUAGUAUGCUAUAGUAGAUAUUGGAUAUUUUGUUGGACUAACCCCUGCAGGAAAACUUUCAAUAUCGACCUGGGAAGUCCUGAGAUAAACUCACAUUGGAGACAAAGAGAGAGACGCAUGAAGGUUAACAAUUUACACAAGGAAGUCAUAGCUCACAAGAGAUGAUCCAUGGAGGGUGCCACAAACACGAUGCACAACCGCUAAGAGAGGAAAGUGUUGACGGUCCUUAAGUACUAAAAUUAAUAAUCAAAUAAACAUGAAAAAGGAUCAAUAUGAAACAAACAUCUAGAAUUAGGGUUUUAUCUGACAGAAUUCCACGAGUUUUGGUGUUUAUCUAUUUCUACAGGGGUUUAUCAGAAAAUAGGGAGAGAAGGCCCACAUGUCAUGUUUACAACGAGAUAAUUACGUGCCGCGCAAUUUUCCUUGAUCUGGAAGGAUCCAGAAGCCACGGGAACGAACGAGAGGGGAUUCGGGCUCGGGGGCUGGGCGGCCGCCCACCCCCCUUGGGCGCCCGCCCAGGUGGAGAGUCCAAUCAGGACUCUGCUUCGGGACAAUCCUCCACCGACCUAAAGGAUCAAUCUAAACCAUACAAUCUAUGUCGGUUUGAUCCAAUGGCUCACGUUCACUUGAGGGGACUACAAAACGAGACCCCCUGGCCCCUGGAGGAGAGGAGGAGAAAUCAUUAUUCAGAGGUAGCCAUCAAAGUUAGGGUUUAGAGCUUCUCUCCCACAGAGAAUUAGAAUUAGCUACUCCCUAAUCCUUCAAGUUUAGAGGUUUGAUUAGAUAGCAAUUAGAGAAGUAGAGCACUACGCUCUGGAUUCGGAUCUUCGGUAAUAAAGAUUGGUAUUAUUCAUAUCUUUCUCUAAUUCUAUUGUUCUAAUUGCAUUAUGUCUCUAAUUAUUAUGUUCUUAGUUUGCUCUAGUUCUAUAUUUGAUAUAGUUCUAAUUGAUAAUGAGUUUAUGUAUAAGUUUGCAAAGCGCUUAGCUCUUGUCACGAGGGAGUUAGGUGAUAGAUCACAUGUGAGCGUGGUGCUUAGAUGUUAUUUAUCUGCAAAUGUAUCCUAUUGGCCGAGUCGUGUGGUAGUUCGCGAUAGUGACAGCUUCGUUGAUUCUUAUAUAGUCCACCCUCCGUUGAUAGGACAGGCAGAACCGGUAUUGUGGAGUAAGUCAUGCGAUGUUCUGAUUUACUUUAUCAAUGUUCCUUAUACAUGAAUGAAGAGUCUUUUAUGCUAUAUAUGAUCUUGUAGAUAACUAGAGUAGAUUAUGACUUAGUAGUUAGUAGAUAACUUAGAAUCCAUUCUCUAGCUAAUCCGACAUCACCUACAUAUAUGAGGAGUAGUCUAUUUUCUAAUCGCUGUGCUCUUUACCCCAUGAACUUAUACUUUAUUAUCAUUAUCUUUAUGGUUUACCCCCUGCUAAAGUAUGUGACUGUGUGACGAGUUUCUCAUUAGUAAUCAUGUUCUUGCAAGUUUAUCUCUAGUCUAUGCCUUGAUAGAUUUUGCCCCCUUUGAUUUAAUUCCAUCUUCCUCAGAUCCCUAAGCAAAAUUAUAAAUAACGAUACCUGGAAUACUUAUCCUGGUGAAAUGCUACAAUGAGGUGUUUUAUCUGUGCGCUUGCGGAUAGAAUAGAUUAUUUUCUAGAGAGCCUUUACAUUUAUAAAUACCUUUGUACACUCUGGCGCCAUGCUAGGGAUGACAACCUAGUAUCUAAGUGGUGUUAGCUAGUGUCAACAAGCAUUUCUGGCGCCGUUGCCGGGGAGUUACGGAGACAUGUUAGAAUUAUAAGAAUUAUAUGAGUCUCAGGAAUAAGUCGUAAAAGGGGAACAAAGGAGUAAUAUUGAGGAAAGCCAGAAAAUCAAUCAAGGUUAUUCAUAUAAAAUUUUAGACUAGACUAUAGAGAAAUAAUUGCAUAAAACAACUACUAAGUGAGAAAUCAUAACAAGGCACCGCUGCUUUGGCAGGUUCACCCUGUUGUUUUUCUAUGUUUAUAUUUUUAUACAGGGUAUAACAGGAUUGACUUUGGGUACAUUCAACUCUUCAUCAUCAGAACCGAAGCAAUCAAGAGAAGAAGAAGCUAGUUACCAAUUGCUGAAGCUAUGGCACAAAAGACCUUGCCAGAAUUCUCUGCUCCAAGUCUUGAGAACAUUCCAACUGGUCCAAGAUUUGCAGUAGAAGAAGGAAUACCUGAGUUUGAGCUCAAGUCAAGCCUCAUCAAUUUGGUACAAGCUACACAAUUCAGUGAAAAGGCACAUGAAGAUGCCAGUGCACACUUGCAGAAUUUCUUAGAGAUUGGAAGCACAAUCCACAUCAACGGAGUUGACAAAGACGUCAUACUGCUUCGCCUUUUUCCAUUCUCAUUAGAAGGAAAAGCGAGGAAGUGGUUCUACACUCAUCAAGAUAACAUCAACAACUGGACGAACUUGUCAGAUGCCUUUCUAUCAAAGUUUUUCCCUAUAGGCAAAACAACUGCCUUAAGAGGAAAUAUUGUCAGUUUCCAACAGCAGAAGACAGAAGCCAUUUCAGAAGCAUGGGAGCGUUUUCAAGGAUACAUAUCAGAUUGUCCUCACCAUGGAAUGGCCACAUGGUUACUUAUGUAGACCUUCUACCAUGGAUUAACCCAGAAGGCUCGUGAGUGCCUAGAUGCAUCUGCUAAAGGAUCAUUCUUGGAGCUUACAACUGGAAAAGCAGAGAUACUUUUGGAUAAGAUAGCAGAAAACCAAAGCUGGUUCCAAGAUAAAGCUCAACAUUGUCAUCAAACUGAAGAAAUACUAGAAGAAAUAAAUGCAUUAUCAACUAAGAUGGAAAAUUUGCUCCAUUGGAUUGACCAGAGGGCCAAGUUCAAAGAAGAUCAAAGGGCCAUUGAGACAGCAUACAAAUAUCAACCAACUUCGAGUCAACCCAAUAGCAAAGGUAUGAAUUCAGGUAAUACUGUCAAGCAACUUUCAUUAAAAGAGAUAAUUGCUCAACAAACCAAAAUUAAUGAUGAAGUUAAACAAAGGCUAGAUACAAAUGAAUCAUCUCUAAAAGAUAUACACAAUAAAAUGGAUUUUCUACUAACCGCCUUUGAUGAGCAAAACACUCUUAAUAAAAGGGUAGAGCUUAAAUUAAUAAAGUUAGCUGCUGCACUGCCUGUUGCUACUAACAUUGAGCAGGUAAAGAAUAUAACUACUAGAGGAGGUAAAGCUACCAGAGAUCCACCAUACCCAAAAGAGAAACAAAGAACAUCAGCACCAGUGCAACCAGCAGUAAUAGAAGAAGAAAGCCCAGUUGAAGCAGAAGAUCUGCUCCAACCACCAAGAACUGGAGAAAUGAGGAAAGAUUUUUACGACACCAACUAUUUUCCAUUUCCCAGAAGAAACAGAGCACUGCAGUCGGAUGAGCAGUUUGGUAAGUUUGUAGAGGUCAUUCAGAAAUUAUAUGUCAACAUACCUCUGCUCGAUGCCAUACAGGUACCUACAUAUGCAAAGUACAUCAGAGAUAUUCUUAACAAGAAGAGACCACUGCCCACCACUAAGGUUAUCAAGCUGACGGAAGAAUGUAGUGCGGCCAUCCUCAAUAAGCCACCAAAGAAGAAGGAAGAUCCCGGAUGUCCCACUAUAGAUUGCUCGAUCGGAAACCAACACUUCAACAAUGCACUUUGUGAUCUCGGAGCAAGUGUCAGUGUGAUGCCAGUAUCAGUCUACAAAAAGCUUGAGCAUGCGACCUUAGAACCAACAUCAAUGUGCCUACAACUAGCGGAUCAAUCGGUUCGACACCCGUUGGGCAUCGCCGAGAACAUUCCAGUCAAGAUCAGAGAUUUCCUGGUGCCAGUAGACUUCGUAGUACUGGACAUGAGUCCUGACUCAAAAGUGUCCAUCAUCCUUGGAAGGCCAUUUCUGAGCACUGCCAAUGCCCACAUUGAUGUCGGGAAGGGAGAAAUCAAGUUCAACAUAAACGGUCAAGAAGAACACUUCACAUUCAAACCCAGACCAGAGAGAGACUCUACAGUGAAGGAAGUUCAAGAAGAACAACUGGAGACACCAUCUCCAGAGGAAGGUAACUCAGAAGAUUAAAAGAUUUGGAGGUCCAGCUUGGGGGACCUAAAAAUCCCAAACCCUCACCGGGAGGUAAAUCGGUAUUUAUCCGCAUUAUCAAUUUUCUCAUUCUUGCAUAAUUAAUUCUUGCAUUAGUCAUAGCAUUAUUAUAAUAAUCAAAAAGCCCCAUAUAAAUAAUAUUUGUGGUGUGUAACAACCCAUAUUUAUUAUUGUGGAGGCACAAAAAUAUUUUCCAUUAUCAUUUUCAUUAAGUUUCGAUUCUCAUAGAUUUUCCUGCAUUAUAUUUAAUCAUAUUAAUCUUCUAGAAGCAUGACCCACACUCUUUGGGUCCCACAUGUCAUACACUUCACCUCACAUACAUCCCAUCACAUAAUUUCAUCCACCAAUAUAUUUCCACUCACCUGACAUCUUUCCACCGUCCAACCACCACCAACACAACAUUAUUUUGCGUGAGAUCAAAGCAAGGAAGCAAGUGGAGGAAGCACACCCAGGAUGGACACCAGGGGUGGGCGCCCGCCCACCUACCUUGGGUGCCCGCCCUGUCCCCUGCUCAGCCUAUAAAAGGCCACCUCCAGCUUUCCUUCUCUUCACACAAACACUUCAGAAAACCACACAAAUCUCAAUCUCCCGAGAAGGAGCUUUUGUAGUGAAGAGAAGAGAGUAGAGAGAAAGAGGAGAGUGGACGAGAAAGUUGGAGUUCUUUUGAGAGAGUGUUUAUCACCUAGCAAGUAGUGAUCCCGCUGUCUAAGCGGAAGUAAAAGUUGUUUAGGGGGAGGCUCUACCAAAAUAGAAACUUGUCUUGAACGAUUAACCCCUGGACUACUGACACUCCCGACAGCUGACCACUAACAUUUUAUCUCACAUUUUCCACCAGUUGUGUUUUUGCCAACUUUUGUUUGCAGGAUGUUUAAGAAGGUGAAGAAUGCAGGGAAGGCUCUCAAGAACAUUGGUACAAGGAGUUCAUCCCGACACUCCUCACAACCAUCAGAGAUGAGUGUCGACCCGACACCCACACAAGCUCCAUCAUCUUCAUCAGGCCAGCAAGUCAAGGUCCUUCUCAAGAUAGGAGACCUAGGACUGAAGACCCGAAGAGAGAAGGAAGUCUAUCAGCAACUGAAGAACAAAGAUUUCAUUCACACCCCUACUAUCGAUCCAAUCCUACUACGAGAAACAGGUAUGGACACUGAAUUUGACUUAAUUUUUCAAAUGAUGGGUUGGACAAAUUUUUGGAAUAUAACUGAGCUGGGUUCUCGUCUUCUCACCCUCGAAUUUCUUUGUACUUUACAAUACUAUGAGGGGGGAAUUGUUUUUCGGAUGUUUAAAUAGGAAAUUAUGCUGUCUUGGAGAGAGCUGAGCGACCAUCUUGGUUUCUCUUCAAGAUGCAUCCUAAACAUCGACUCCGAUUUACCCAAUUUUGAGAGACACCAGUUUUGGAGAGAAAUAUCUAGAUAUAAGUUUUACAGUCAAGCCCGAACCAGUGACAUGGAACACCCCACUCUUAGGAUGUUUCACAAAUGGCUUGGGUACAAUCUUUUCUAUCGUGACGAUAUUAGGAAAGUAAGAGUAGGAGAUUUACAACUUUUAUAUGCUGCUAUUAGUAAAGUACCUACUUCACCUGUUACACUAUUAGUUUCACAUUGGCUUAGUAUACCUAGUCUGCAGGGACCAGUAGGAUGUACUUCACUUAUCACUCGUCUAGCCACUAAUCUUCACUUACUAGAAAACUCAUCAUUGGACUUCAUAGGAGAAUUAAGGAUUUAUCAUGGCUAUGACACAUUUAGACAAGCUCGGAUGUUAAAGAAAGAGGGGAAUAUAAUGUAUAUGCUAUAUGAUGAUAAAGGCAAGAUUCGGUUACCUAACCCGAACCUUGGCCUCUACUCUGUGCAAAACUUUUUGAUUGAGAUUGCAGCAACACCAGUGAACCAGAGAACUCCACAGCGAGUGGCAUCUGAAAGGAUAACCACUCACCGAGAACGCACUUGGUAUGGAGCUGACCCUGGACCAGAAGAAGCAGCGCACCUGCAUUAUUGCGAUUACAAUCCACGAGUCCUUCGAGACCCAUGGGCUCGAUAUGCACAACCACAAGAGCCAACAGAGGAGACAUGGCCGGAGAGCCAAGAUCACCAGUGGACAAACCCGCCUUUUCAUACGUGCAGGUACUCCACUGAUCCAUAUGGAGCUUCAGGAUCCAGACCUCCACCCCAAUUUGAUGCAGGACGAUACUCCGACGCCUCCUACGCCUUCACGAAUGACUACUAUCAAGAGGCCGAUGCUUUCUUUACUCGUACCGACAACACCCUCCUCAACAUCCAGAACACGCAAGCAGAACAUGGAAGACUCCUGGAAGAGCAACAAAAAUGGAACCAGGACCAUGCCGCUACAGUAGAAGAGCUGAGACAAGAUACAACAACAAUGAACGACAACAUCACAACCAUGAUGCGAUUCUGGAACAUCGGGUAAGACCGACGUCAACAUCCAGCUUGGGGGAGUUCCUCCCAAAUUUAUCAAGUAAGUUUUUAUUUGCUCUUCUUAUUUAUUCUAUUCUGUCUUAGUAUUUAAUUUUACCGACGUCAACAUCCAGCUUGGGGGAGUUCCUCCCAAAUUUAUCAAGUAAGUUUUUAUUUGCUCUUCUUAUUUAUUCUAUUCUGUCUUAGUAUUUAAUUUAUCUUAAAAGGAAAAGCUUAGAAAACCAAAUAAAUAUUUUCUUGCUUUAAUUUACUGCACUUUAUAAACAUGAAAACAAAAUAAAAAGAGUGUGUAGAUAAGUGUGCUUUAUCUUCCUGCUAAGUUUAAUCUCUAGAAAAAUAAAAAGACCAAAAAUAUACAUGAUGGAAAUGAUGAAUAGUUGCUCUGUUUGCUCACUUACAAGUACCUAGCUUUUAUAUUAGAAUUCUUCCAGGAAUUACUAAAACUAAAAUUACUAUCUUUGGGAAAGCAUAAACUAAAGUCUAGGUAAGAGAAAGGCAUGAUAUAAAGUUGAGCUACUGUUUAUCUCGUUCCUACUACACUAAAUUCUGGAGAUUUAUUUUUGAAAACUUACAAAUCACAUGAUGAGUUCCUAGCAUAACAAACUACCUACCACAGCCAUACUUGCUAUAACAUCUUUACUAUAUUCACAUUGAGUUUGAUCGAGAUGUGUUGACCCUUAGGAGCUUUUCAUGUGGUUAAAUUAAGAUAUUCACUUGCACGCAUCUACCACAGCAUUCAUUAUCAAUCAUUAAAAUUGCUAAAAAUAUUAUCACUCACUGUCCCGAAUAUUGUUAUUCUCUCUCUCUAAAAAGAUUCAAUGCAGAAGAGGCAUGGGUUAUGCAAAAAAAAUAUAUAUACGAGGAAAUAAAAAGGGGCAAGUGCCCGGAACCUCGAUAAAAGAAAAAGAGUGAGACGAGAGGUAAAAAUGGACAAGUGUCCGAAGUAGAAUUAGGGGUACAAAGAUGCCCACUUGAGCGGAAAAAAUGGACAAGUGUCUGACAGUAGAAUUAGGGGUAUCCACUACCCAUCUAAAAAAAAGAUAGCCCAUGUUCUCCCAAAGCAAAGAUCAAAGAAGAGGAGAGAUAGCAAUAUGAGGAGCAAUGAGAAGUAAAUUUUAUUAUCACUUAUGCAUUUUCACCAUCACUAUCAUUUACUCCAUCACACAUGCACAUCUUGAUUUAAUUAUAUGCUGAGUUCCUUUGGAUCCAUGGCUCGAUUAGACAACAUAUGUAUGAGCUGUUUGCACUCCUAAGAGCUCCACUUAAUUAUUCUAUUAGCUAUAGGCAAGUGAUAUUAUGGUAAGGAUCCACAAAUACUACAUAUAGAGAGACUUGAGAGAAUCAUUGCUGGGAACUCUGAGUUUUAUUUUAAAAACUUAUGAAAAACUCUAGAACAAAGGUGAAGUAUAGACAGGAGGGAUAGUGCUUGACUUAACUAUUUUGUCUUUCGAUUACUUAAGACUUAAGUGCAGGUACUAAACUUCAUAACACUUCACUGUAAUCUGGAAGAAUUUUUAUGUAAAAGCAUGUGUGCCUGUCAUGAAAGAAAACAUCGAAGCAACUCCUGAUCCGUCUGAGUUUAGCUAUUUGCUCAGGGACGAGCAAAGGGUAAGCUUGGGGGAGUUUGUUGACGGUCCUUAAGUACUAAAAUUAAUAAUCAAAUAAACAUGAAAAAGGAUCAAUAUGAAACAAACAUCUAGAAUUAGGGUUUUAUCUGACAGAAUUCCACGAGUUUUGGUGUUUAUCUAUUUCUGCAGGGGUUUAUCAGAAAAUAGGGAGAGAAGGCCCACAUGUCAUGUUUACAACGAGAUAAUUACGUGCCGCGCAAUUUUCCUUGAUCUGGAAGGAUCCAGAAGCCACGGGAACGAACGAGAGGGGAUUCGGGCUCGGGGGCUGGGCGACCGCCCACCCCCCUUGGGCGCCCGCCCAGGUGGAGAGUCCAAUCAGGACUCUGCUUCGGGACAAUCCUCCACCGACCUAAAGGAUCAAUCUAAACCAUACAAUCUAUGUCGGUUUGAUCCAAUGGCUCACGUUCACUUGAGGGGACUAUAAAACCAGACCCCCUGGCCCCUGGAGGAGAGGAGGAGAAAUCAUUAUUCAGAGGUAGCCAUCAAAGUUAGGGUUUAGAGCUUCUCUCCCACAGAGAAUUAGAAUUAGCUACUCCCUAAUCCUUCAAGUUUAGAGGUUUGAUUAGAUAGCAAUUAGAGAAGUAGAGCACUACGCUCUGGAUUCGGAUCUUCGGUAAUAAAGAUUGGUAUUAUUCAUAUCUUUCUCUAAUUCUAUUGUUCUAAUUGCAUUAUGUCUCUAAUUAUUAUGUUCUUAGUUUGCUCUAGUUCUAUAUUUGAUAUAGUUCUAAUUGAUAAUGAGUUUAUGUAUAAGUUUGCAAAGCGCUUAGCUCUUGUCGCGAGGGAGUUAGGUGAUAGAUCACAUGUGAGCGUGGUGCUUAGAUGUUAUUUAUCUGCAAAUGUAUCCUAUUGGCCGAGUCGUGUGGUAGUUCGCGAUAGUGACAGCUUCGUUGAUUCUUAUAUAGUCCACCCUCCGUUGAUAGGACAGGCAGAACCGGUAUUGUGGAGUACGUCAUGCGAUGUUCUGAUUUACUUUAUCAAUGUUCCUUAUACAUGAAUGAAGAGUCUUUUAUGCUAUAUAUGAUCUUGUAGAUAACUAUAGUAGAUUAUUACUUAGUAGUUAGUAGAUAACUUAGAAUCCAUUCUCUAGCUAAUCCGACAUCACCUACAUAUAUGAGGAGUAGUCUAUUUUCUAAUUGCUGUGCUCUUUACCCCAUGAACUUAUACUUUAUUAUCAUUAUCUUUAUGGUUUACCCCCUGCUAAAGUAUGUGACUGUGUGACGAGUUUCUCAUUAGUAAUCAUGUUCUUGCAAGUUUAUCUCUAGUCUAUGCCUUGAUAGAUUUUGCCCCCUUUGAUUUAAUUCCAUCUUCCUCAGAUCCCUAAGCAAAAUUAUAAAUAACGAUACCUGGAAUACUUAUCCUGGUGAAAUGCUACAAUGAGGUGUUUUAUCUGUGUGCUUGCGGAUAGAAUAGAUUAUUUUCUAGAGAGCCUUUACAUUUAUAAAUACCUUUGUACACUCUGGCGCCAUGCUAGGGAUGACAACCUAGUAUCUAAGUGGUGUUAGCUAGUGUCAACAGAAAGCUUCCACAAGGUGAUACUAUACCAUCACUCUUCAAGUAAGGUAAUAUCUUAAGGUACAUGACUAUCACUUUUAUAAGUUUCUCCUUGGUUCUGGCGUUCACAUGAGCAAAAGAGACAAACAUGUAUGAUUUACAACUCUAGAUUAACCAACCCAAUAUAUUCAACAUGUUUAGUCCUUCCACCUUUGUGAUCCCACACUCCUAAUCUUAUGAACUAAAAUGUUGCACACUCAAUCUUUGGAAGAUAUAUUUUAUAAAAAAAACAACAUAAAUAUAGAUAAAUUAUCUUUCCAUUAGGUUGAGCGAUUUGAUCUGACAAAUGUUUUAAAUGCUACACUCAUGAUCAUAUUAUUCAUCAACUUUGUCUUGCUCACUAUGCUUAAGGAUAGAGAAGAACAAAUACACUUUUGGUUUUGUUGGUGUUUUCCACCAACAGGGCCCAUGCACUUGAUCUCUGCCUUGUCUAUGAGCAGGUACACUUCGAGUAAAAUAUGAAGGACUUUUACAAUUCCCAGACUCCACCAAGUGAAGUACCUAGAUCUACGAGCACAAACACACUGGAGAUACUGGACACUCAGGCAAUCACUGCCCUGAGAUGCUUGAGGACGUAACUACUGGAGUAACCCCAUUGUGGAAGUAAUUACUGACCUUCUGCUGGUCAAGAGAGACAACCCAGGAUGCCCCGUCAUCCCGAUCUCCAUCGGCAUGGUGGACUUCCUAGAAGCACUCUGCAACUUUGGCUCCAGCGUCAACAUUAUGCUCAGGGUACUCUAUGAAAAAUUCUUUACACAUCCUUUCCUAGAAACAACCAUGUGUUUGCAGCUUGCAGAUCAGACACUAAGUUUCCCAAAGGGAAUAUUGAAGAACCUCUACAUCCGAGUUGGUACCUUAUACGCUCCAGCAGACUUCGUGGUGAUAGAGACUGAUACUGAUGAGAGGGCACCCAUCAUCCUAGGGAGGCCAUUCCUGAACACCUCGAGAGCUGUCAUCUACGCUAGUGCUGCCAAGAUCAGUUUCUACAUCAAGGGGAAGAAGGAGACGUUUUCCUUCAAGAACAAGACUACACAAAUCUUAGAGCAAUCCCGACAUGAAACAAGGAAGAGGACCAACAGGAGGAACAAAAACAAGCAAAUGUGGACCAAGUCAGCAAAGAUGGUCACUGCAGUUCAAGGAGGUCAAGAUCGUCGACUUAAAUCACCGUUCCUAACCAAAAAGGACGACCCAAGUAUGCCAAGCAUCCAGUGCUCCAUUGAUGGAUACAACUUCCAGAAGAUACUUUGCGACACCGGGUCAGGCGUCAACAUAAUGGCCGCCAGUCACCUAUCGGCUCCUAUUCGGAACCAUGCCCCUAAAACCGACAUACAUUCAGCUUCAGAUGGCAGAUCAGACAUUUUGAAACAUUGAAGGUUAUUGACAUGGGAGAAGACGAGUACGAUCCACCCAUCGUCCUUGGAAGACCGUUCUUUGGCACCAUUAAAGCAAUCAUAUACAUUGGAACCAGAGAAGUCCACAUGCACUUCCCCUCAGAGAAGGUACGCCACUGUUUUACUGACCCUAACUAUAUAGUUGAAGACUCUAAGCAGGUCAGGACAAAAAGAAGAUGACGCAACCGCAACCAGAGGAGGCAAAUCAUCAAGGAUGGAUGGGCAGACUACGAAGGAGAAGUUGUAAGGUCUGAAGACAUACAACUUGAACAGAACUGUCCUGAGGAGACCGUAGCACUGAGGCAGGUGUAGAGAGAGAAGAUAGUUAUACACGAAGAGCAGGCACCGCCGGAACCACCGACUACGCCAUCCAGCGAAUCCCAGGACGACUAAGAAAACGGAGAGUCCCGUUCGGAGGACGUAAAAACACCGAACGCCUUUCCAAAAGGUAAACUUGGUAGUUAUCUUUUUCCUUUCAAUUAUUUAAAAUAGUUUGGUUAGUUAAUCAGGUUCAUAUCAUCUUGAAAAGAAAAUAAAAAUGUUAAGUAAGCCCCAUGUAAGUAUGCUCAUGGCAUAAAACCCAUAAGUACAUUCACUAUGGUGGCAUAAAAAUAAAAUAAAUAUAUUCUUGUCCUAUAAAAAUAAAAAUAUAAAAAUAAGAUUGUGAUCCUACUAAAAAGAGUGUAACAUUUAUUGAGGAGGCUCAACAUGAUAAAGGCUAGAUAUUUAUGCUAACACUUAACUAGUUCCACAAAGCUUUGUUGUCUAUUUGAGCUCCACAGAAUUCAAGGAUCAAAGAAGACUAGCAGACGGAGGACAUCCUAAUCGCUUUCAGAGUGCUGCCGACAUUCAAAUACACCUCCGCCACCUGCUAGCUACAUCAGAAGAAAAUUCGUCAAAAUCCAGCUUGGGGGAGAGCACCCCCAUUUAUCCAGCUAAGUGUUCUACUCAUCUUUAUACUUUACUGAAAUAAUAAAAAGAUGCAUAAUCAUAAAAACCCAAAUAAAGAUUUUGUGCUUAUAUAUAUAUAUCUUUGCUUAGUUUGCUAAAUAAAUAAAUAAAUAAAGUUUGCUAUGAACCCUCAUGAUAAGCUCUCACAUGGAAAUAAUGAAUAGUUGCUCUGCCAUGAUUAGUUCUAAAAAUUGAAACCUCUCUUAAGUUUAGGCAUGACUGUUAUUAAUUAAGAUUUGCUCUAAACCUGAACUUGUGGGGAGAGUACUUGAUCCAAAGUCUAAGUCGUUAAGGAUACGAUAUGGGAAGGUUGAGCUGCUGUUUAUGUGUUCCUAGAGAUGCUAGAAUUCUGGAGAAUUUUAUCUUUGAAAAUCUUUAAAUUGUUGCAUGAUGAGUUCCUGUAUGAUGAGAGUUUAAAUUCCUACCACAGCCAUAUAUACAUGCUUGCUAGACUUUGAGCCACACAUUUACUUUUUACUUCUUAUGAGCAUUGAGUGUGGUCAAGCUUUGUAGACCCUUAGGAGCUUGUCAUGUGGUUAAAUCAAGAUUCACUUGCACGUUCACUCAUACAUGCUGCUUCUACUCCGGAAGUACGCAUCCACAUAUAUCCAUCCAUUUCCAUCUCCAGAACCACCCAAAAAUAUUCUACUCCUAAUCCGGGAGAGAAUAGCCAAAAAUAUUCCUGUUUUUCCCCUGUGAAAUAAAUGCUCAAGUUAUCUUGUUACUACCACUUGCUAUAUUAUCUCAUGAGAUGAGUGCUCUAAAAAAAAGAAAAAAAAAGAAAAAAAAUAUAUAUACGAGGAUAUAAAAAGGGGCAAGUGCCCGGAACCUCGACGAAAAGAAAAAGUGAGACGAGAGGUAAAAAUGGACAAGUGUCCGAUAGUAGAAUUAGGGGUACAAGAUACCCACCAGAGAGAAAAGAAAAAGAAAACAUAGAGCAUCUCAUUCUCCUCAAAAAGUUUCAAAAGAGCAAGAAAGGUAUGUAUCCGUUCAAAAGAGCACAAGUAGAAUUAGACGUUCACCAUUGUUAUCACCAUCAUCACCAUACACCAUUCAUUCGCCACACAUGCACAUCUUGAUUUGACUUAUUGACUUGUUCUUCUGGAUCCAUGGUUUGACUAUGCAAUAAAUGUCUUGUAAGUAUGUAUUAGCUGUCUCCCACCUAUGAGCUCCAGAUAUCAAAACCUUAUUAGAGUAGGGUGAGAGAGAAGGCAAUGCCACUAUGCUUCAUACUACAAAUACCACAUACUUUGAGAGAAGGCAUACACCUUUACUGCCUUGGUAAGGAUCUAGAAAUACCACAAAAGAGAGACUAGAGAGAGUCAUAUAAGGAAUCUCUGAGUUUUAUUUGAAAAUCUGCAAAAACUCCAGAGCUAUAGUUGAUCAAGAACAUGAGACAUGGCGCUUGACUAGACCGUUCUAUCUUUUAACUGCUCAAAACACAGGUGAUGGUCGCAAGCCCC